AUAUAACUGUUAUAAUUUAAAGCUUGCUCUAGACCUCAACUUGUGGGAUGAAAACUUGAUCUGAAGUCUAAGUUGUUAACGGAUACGAUAUGGGAAGGUUGAGCUGCUGUUUAUCUGUUCCUAGAGAUGCUAGAAUUCUGGAGAAUUUUAUCUUUAAAAAUCUUUAAAAUGUUGCAUGAUGAGUUCCUGUAUGAUGAGAGUUUAAAUUCCUACCACAGCCAUAUAUACAUGCUUGCUAGACUUUGAGCCACACAUUUACUAUUUACUGCUUAUGAGCAUUGAGUGUGGUCAAGCUGUGUAGACCCUUAGGAGCUUGUCAUGUGGUUAAAUCAAGAUUCACUUGCACGUUCACUCACAUAUGUUGCUUCUACUCCGGAAGUACCAUCCACAUAUAUCCAUCCAUUUCCAUCUCCAGAACCACCCAAAAAUAUUCUACUCCUAAUCCGGGAGAGAAUGACAAAAAAAAUAUAUUUCUAUUUGUCCCUUGUGAAAUAAAUGCUCAAGUUAUCUUAUUACUACCACUUGCUAUAUUAUCUCAAGAGAUGAGUGCUCUAAAAAAAGAAGAAAAGAUACGAGGAAAUAAAAAGGGGCAAGUGCCCGGAACCUCGAAAGAAAAGAAAAAGUGAGACGAGAGGUAAAAAUGGACAAGUGUCCGACAGUAAAAUUAGGGGUACAAGAUACCCACCUGAGAGAAAAGAAAAAUAUAGAGCAUCUCAUUCUCCUCACAAAAAUUUCAAAAAGCAAGGAAGGUAUGUAUCCCCUCAAAGAGCAAAAGUAGAAUUAGACUUUCACCAUUGUCAUCACUAUACACCAUUCAUUCGCCACACAUGCACAUCUUGAUUUGACUUAUUGAUUUGUUUCUUUGGAUCCAUGGUUUGACUAUACAAUAACUGUCUUGUAAGUAUGUAUAAUUUAUCUCCCACCUAUGAGCUCCAGAUAUUAAAGCCUUGUUAGAGUAGGAUGAGAGAGAAGGCAAUGUCACUAUGCCUUAUACCAUACAUACCACAUACUUUUUGAGAGAAGGCAUAUACCAUCACUGCCUUGGUAAGGAUCCAGAAAUACCACAAAAGAGAGAUUUGAGAGAAUCAUACAAGGAAUCUCUGAGUUUUAUUUGAAAAUCUGCAAAAACUCCAGAGCUAUAGCUGAUCAAGAAUAAGAGACAUGGCACUUAACUAGACUGUUCUAUCUUUUAAUUACUCAAGACAGAAGUGACGGUUACAAGUCCCAUGGUAAAAGGUAAAGUAAGUUUUAAGUCUUGAAAGUUUACUCUAACUCAGAGAUGAGAUCUUAUUUAAAAGCAAGUGUACCGUCAAUUUUCAAAGAUAUUGCAACAACUUCUUAUCCAUCAUUGAGAUUAUCCUUGCCCAGGGACGAGCAAGAGGUAAGCUUGGGGGAGUUUGUUGACGGUCCUUAAGUAUCAAAUUUAAUUAUCAAAUAAACAAAGAAAAUGAUCCAAAUGAAAUCAACAUCUAUACUUAGGGUUUUAUCUGAUAGAAUUCCACGAGUUUUGGUGUUUGUCUAUUUCUAUAAGGGGUUAUCAGGAAAUACAGAAGAAAGGCCCACACGUCGGGAUUACAUAGAGAUAUUAACAUGCCAUGCAAUUAUCUUACAUCUAGAAGACUCGAGAAGCCACGGGAAGGAAGCUGAGGCCGAACGGGGCCAGGCACUGGGCGCCCGCCCAGUUGCCCUGGGCGCCCGCCCCCUGUUGGAGUCCAAACAGGACUCUCUUUCGGGAAAGAUUUCCACCGACCUAAAGGAUCAAGGAUAACCGUUCAAUCAAUGUCGGUUUGAUCCAACGGCCCAUAUUCACUUGAAGGUACUAUAAAACCAAACCCCCUGGCCCCUGGAGGAGAGAGCCUCUCAACCCUAAUUCAUUAUUCUCAAGGGAGAAGAAGCCUCUGAUCAAGAUUAGAGCCACCACAUCAAUUAGAUAUCUAGAUUAGCAUAGCUACAUAGGAUUAGAACUAGAAGGAGUCAAUCUUCGAUUUCUUUCCGUAUCUGUCAAGAGGAUUCUUGGUAAUUCUCUAAUUGUGCUUCUAAUUGUUCUUCUAAUUAUCUUUGUUCUUCAAUAUUAUGAAUAUGACUUUGUUCUACUUCAAUAUAUUGCUUAUGACUUUGCUCUACUUGCUUAUAUUCAAGAUAAUAUUGUUCUUAGUUUAUCAUAGUUAUGUACUUGGCUUAGUUAGAUUGGAUCUAUAUACAUGCUUAGGAUCGUAUAGCGUUUAUCCAUCGGAUCCAUAGGUAAAUGAUAGAUAUUGUGUAGGCGUGGUGCUUAUACCGUAUUUAUCUGCGAUUGUACCCAAUAUGCCAGAUCGUGGGGUAGUUCGUGAUAGUGACAGCUUCAUUGAUUCUUAUAUAGUCCCCCUCUCGUGUAUUGGGCUGGCAGAGCAACAUUAUUACAGGGGAGUGAUUGCUAUGUUUCUCAUUUACCUUUCAUAUAUCACUAUGCAUGGGCGUAGUCUUCUCUCGCAAUGAUUGCUAAGUAUGCUUGCACUAACUAUGACAAUGCUAGACUAUAUAGUUGAGAAUAACUUAGGAAAUAUUCUUGUAGUUCGUUCUAAUACCAUGCUAAUGACUUUCUAGAGUAUGUAAUUGAGGUGCUUAUCAUAUUUAUUAUGUGGCUAAGUUAUGCUGAUCAGAUUAAUUAUCUCUAUCACUAUUCAUUACUUCAUAUAUCUUUUAUGUGACACUUAUCCCUGUAUGAAAGAGUUAGAUAAAUGUUCUCAAUUAUAUAUGCAAUGAUAGAUAUUCAAUCUCAUAUUCUAUUCUGUAAUCAAUAUUGAUGAUUGUUAAUCCAUUUCCAGUGGUAAAAAUAUAAAUAACGAUACCUAGAAUACUUUCCGGUUAAAUUGCUACAUCGGUAUUAAUCUGUGCGCUUGCAGAUCCCAUUCAUUAUUUAUUUAGAAGAGCAAUUGCAUAUUUCAAUACCGUGUCUCUUAUAUCAUGCUGGGGAUGACAACUUGGCUUAAGUGGUAUGAGGGAUAGGUUUGGCAUUUUUGGCACCGUUACUAGAAUUAGAAAACUAAGUUUACUUUUGGUAAUGAUGUUAAGAAUACCCAACAACCCACGCUCGAUUAAACCCACCCCUAGCUCCGCCUCGACAAGCGCAAUCUCGUGCGCACGCUCUCGGCCGUCCGCGUCAAGGUAUUAGGUGAGAUUUCACCGCCGCGACAUGGCCGGAGCUCCGGCGAGCUCUCGGUCCGCGCGAAUCUUCCCUUCCAGACCCCCUUUCUCUUCGUUUGUUUGCGCGUUGUGGUCGCCGUGCUCCCGCGAACCCUAAGCACCCCUCCGUUCGCACUCGAUCGGCACCGAGCUCUGGCGUAGGUGCCCUCCGCGCCACCGAAGACCUCACCGUCGGCGAGAGCCGGCCGGCCGAAGUCGGCCGGAGUGCUGCAUGGCUGACCCGUGGGGACACAACCCCUGGGUCCCGCCUGUCAGCGCCUCUGCAGGUGUGGAUCUGGGUGGAUCUAGCGUUUUCCGUCGGUUUUCUUAAAUAAAGGUUUUCCAGAAAUUGAUUUAAAUGAUGAAAAAUCCAUAUCUUGAGAUGCAUGGCUCGAAAAUUGAUAAAAUAAAUUUUGAUGUGUUCUAUAUUCACAGAUCUAUAGUUUGGUAUGGUUGCAUAUCAUGUUUGAUCAACUUUUCUGUACAAAUAUAUUUGAUCCAUGUUUUUGCUGAAUUUGGAAAAUACAUAGUAAUUAAAAUAUAGCUCAGAAAAAUAUGAAACUUGUUUUGUUGGUUCUGUAUGGGUGAUUAGGCUCAGGGACAAAUAUGUUACACAUUAUUUGCUGUAUGAAUUAUUUUAUGAUAAUUUAAAUGCUUGCAUGGCAGUGGUUUAUCAUUUUUAAUAAAUAAUUGGAUCAUGGAAUUAAUCUGGAAAUUUUUGUGGGUGUUUCUUAUGAUAAUAAGUAAAUUAUAAAAAUAUGAAAUCUGCUGUUUGACACUUACACAACAAUAGGAUAAUUAUACUUAAUUAUAUGGGUUGAUCUUCUGAUUUUCGUAGCUCAAAAUAAAUGUCCAAAUAUUAUGAGAAAUUUAUGGUAGACUCUAUGGUUGACUAGUGAUCUGCUAUAAUUUUUGUGGAAUUUAUGGAUAAGCAAAAAUAUAUGCUAUUUUUGUAGGCCUAAAAGUGGAUAAAUAAAUUAUAAAUUUUUUAUACAUAGAUUAAAUGAAGUAAAAUGAUGUUUGGUGUAUCUUUGAAGCAUCAUGUGAGUUUGCUGGUUAACCAUGAAUACAAUUUGUAGAAGAGAAUGCAAUAGAUGCUUAAUUCAAUUGCACGUUCUUGGAUGAUGUUGACUACCUUGUAGAAAUGACCACCUAUAUCAUCUAUGCACUAUGUCAUAGUCAUCUGUUACCUACUUUCAUAAGCAUUGCACCCCGGGCAUCUCGCAUUUCACUCAUGAGCACACAUGCAUCAUAAAGGCUCGUAGGAGAACGAGGUGGGACCCAAGGAGCAAGAGGAGACCGAGGAGCAGGAACCUCUGGGAGGACCGGAGCCCGGAGAAGAGCUGCAGGAGUGCCCGGAUCACAAGCCGAGCACGUUUGAGAAAGGCAAGCCCCGGAGCAUUUUAAGUCUCCCUAUUCUCGGUAACAUAAAUGAUGUAUUAUGCUUGUUCUACUAUGUGCAUUUAAGUGAUAGGAAUUGCUUGAUACCGUUGAUGCAUGUGUACUCCUUGAUAUCACCACUUGUUUAUCUGCCUUGUCCUAUGUAGAUAGGUACGGAGUCCGUGCUUAGUUUGCUUAGUCCGGUAGAAGUCGGGUGAUUUCCUGUCACCUGCGAGAUAUAGGUGGAUACCUGCUUGAUUAAGCGGUGAUUGCUUUGGGAAAGAAUAACCAAGUGUGGAAGGGAAUUUGAGGCCGGGCAGGGUCUUAUGGUGGGUUGACCGUAGUGCCCCUGCCUGUGUCGAUUAAGGACCGAUCGUUGACUGUGCUCUUGUCAUGUUGAACGCAUGGCCCACACUUAGCUGGAAGGAUAAGUCGUUCCGACCGCGAAGCCUGAACACUAUCCGCGCCGGGAGUCGAGCCGCCAUGCGCUGUAUUGGUGAUGGUUGAGGAGAACAACGAGAGUGCGGCGCGCAACCUUGGUAUACCUUGGAUACCUCGGUCGCCGGAACGGUCCUCGGGAACUGGCGGUGCCUGCCGAACCCGCGAAUUGGUCCUGGAUAGUGUAACACGGUGAUCUGUAGCUCACUUGAUCAGUGAGUGUGGUUUGUGUGGGGAAUACCUCGCCAGCUGGUUAGAAAUCGAUUCGAAUCGCCAUCGCUCCUAGAUAGUGAACACUUAACAUGAGCCCUGUCCUCGUAGUAAGGACUAUGAAACACUUGGGUUAUAAUGAUAAAUGAUCUAUGAAUGCUAUGAUGAGGUACAAUCAUAUUACUACAUUUGUUUGCAAUAAUGUAGGUGCAAACCUAGAUAAUAGGUAAUGAUACUUUGAACUUGAGCUAAUUAAAAGAAGAAAGGUUUUCUUUAGGAUAUGUUUAGUGCAAUAGUGCUUUCAUGCAAAAGUCUCAGCUACCCCACUAUAUUGCCUUCAUGAUCCUUGAAGAGUCUUUAUUUUUGGUUUAUGACGGGUAAGUCUAGCUGAGUACAUUCUCGUAGUCAGGGUUUUACUCCCAUGUUGUUUUGCAGAUGGUCAAAUGUACUAUGGUUAUUGCAUUCUCUGCUUGUACCCAGCCAUGGGCGAUGACUAGACCAAGGGCGAUGGUCACUCUACCUCCUCUUUUGCUUUUGUGGGAAUGACUGAACUAUGGCACUGUAUCAGACUAAGUAUGUGUGUGUUAUUUUCGAACUAUGAAGCAUCUGCUACUUGAGAACUUGGUUUGUAAUAAUUUUAAGAACUCUAAUGUAUUUUAUGAAUGUCGCAAACUAGAUGUAAGUGUGAAUGGUGACCGCUAAACUUAUUACGAUCUUGGUUGUAUGUACGAUAUGUGGUUUGAAAUCCUUCAAGAUUUCACGGACUACCGGGAUUAUAUGGGCUUAAGCUCGAUGGUUUGACUGUGCAAAUGGUCACUAUUAGGCUUAAUCUCUUAUAAUUUGGUUGGUUCUGUUACAGCUGGCAUCGAAGCAAGGUUUAGCGAGUUACUGUUCAUGUGUACGUUCUAAACUAAACUUAAACUGGUUUAAUAAAAGAUUAUUAUUAAGUAAUGAUAAUCAAGGUGUCAAACUAAGAUUUUGGAAAAAUUAUCUAGUGUGUCAUGGUCAUAUCCUUUAUGCCCAGUUAAGGACUUUAAGGUGGCUAGUUAAGUGCUGACUUGAGGUUAAUGCAUCAUAUUUCUAUUUCGUCGCUCAUACGGCGUGCAAUAGUAUGAGUACCAUUCAUUUGAGUGGUAAUGUAUGGAUCAAUUCUUCCUCUACGCCUCGGUAAGUGGGAGCUGUGAGAGCAUGAUCGGAUACACUGCCGAUCUGGGGAAGUGUUGUUAAGGUGCUGUGUCAUGCACACAUGUUCGGUGUGCCUGGGAACAGUACCGCAUGUUGGGAGAUUCCGUCCUGAGAGGCGAUGCCAUCACUAGGGCGAUGAUGUGGGUAGUAACACGUCAUGUGCAUGGACGGUGUGUCUAUGUGUGUGGGGUGUAUAGCUUUAAAUUCUUGUUCUGCAUAUUCAUGCCGUGGCUGGGCUGAAAUGAGUUUCCUAUAGGUACACUAACCACGUUCCCGCCUAGAACGUUAGUUAUGUAUGAGAGAACGUUGUGUGCCACUGCAUAUACCGAUUAGUGUCAACUUUGUUUCUAAGUUUGUGAGAUCUUAAGUCCGUGCAUGCAUCAUGUUCAUUUCAUAUCAUUGCUUACUUCCCUCCCUUAAAGUAAAUCUGUCCCAAUUUUAAUUAAGUUAAUAAAAGGUACUCCUCAAUCUUACCCAAGGUAUUCCAUUUGCAGCAGAUGGCACGCACUAGGCUCACCGCUCGCAAGUCCACUGGUGGGCUGGCCCCUCGCCAUCAGUUGGCAGCCAGGAGCUCACGUCAUAAGAGCAAGUUCUUGGAGGAGUUUGGGAUGCCCACCUUGCUAUGGAGGGUGCUCAGUUCGAUGGGGUAUCCCGAAGGAAGGGAACCUCGCUACUAUUGGAACAAGGAGCAGCUUGGUGACGGUACCCUGGUGGGGAUCGAGGCAGUGGUCCCUCCUAGUGGAGGUGACCCCGCCUAGGGUGGUUGGGUGUACGAGUCUCGAGGUACCACACCUUUCCACGGUGCCAGCAGGGCAGCUUUCGCAGUUCUGAGGGACCUCAUGGAGAGGUUUCCACAGGAGUUGGCCCACACCUUCGCUGAGGUGUUUCCCCGGGGUGACCCCUACACUUCGGUGUGGGAUCAGUCCGUGGUGAAUGCUCAUGAGAGGAGUGCGGAUGAGGACCAGCACAGUGACAGCGCAGCUAUCAGUGCUAUGUAUGCCUUGAUGAAGACCUAUGGGGGCCUAGAGCGUUGUUUGGGGCGCUUGUCCGGGUCUCUUCUCAAGAUUCAGGAUGAGAAACGUCAGCUACAGCAUGAGUUUGACACUGAGGUUGAGAGGUUGCAGGCAGAGUUAGCCCACGUGACCCGAGAGAAGGAUCAGGCGGUCCAGAAGAACAGUGAGGUGAGUCAGGACCUGCUUUCAGUGAGAGAGCAGAGGGACAGGGUGACUACUGCUCACAGGAACUGCGAGCGCAUGCUAGUUCAUGUGCUUGGUCAGAGGAAUGAAGCCUGGCACGAGGAGGACACCCUAAGAGCCCGACAGCUACAGCUCGAGCAACAGCUAGCCAAUGCGGAGGAGUACAAUGAGAACCUGCAUGAGGACAUCCACCAGCUGCAUAACCAGCUCCACCCUCACCACCUGCCUAGAGCAGCCGAGUUAGACUCUGAGGAUGAGAUGGAUGAGUGCCCAGAGAUGGGGGCAGCUGCUAGUGGAGAUGAGGAUGAGGAGGGCUCCGGCAUGGAUAGCGACCAUAGCGAGUAGAUGCUUGGGCUCUACAGCUAGUCCUUCUUCUUUUGAUGUUGUUGUUGCAUGUCAUGUCUUGUAAUCUUGGAUCCGGGCUGUGUAAAACUUCAUGUGAUGACGCUGAAAGUCCAGUGUACGUAUGCUGGCAAUUUUGGAUGUAUGCAAACUUUGCUGCUUGAAUGUUAAGUAAUCUGUAGUGAUGUUGUGUGUGGAUGAUGAAUUGUUGUGCCUCUAUUUAUUGUGCGAAUUUAUUUCCUCAGUAAAUUCAGUACGGCAUAAUGCUACACAUGUCUAUAGUUGGUGGCAACUUCUAACGAUUGCUUAUCACUGACGCAUGCAGAUGGUGCAAACACAUGGCGGGGGUAACAGCAACCCCGGUCUUGGAGCAGGUACUUAUGGAGGUGGGGCUCAACGGAAUGAGGAAAGAGCACCAUCACCGCCACCACCACCGCCUCCUCCGUACACUGUGGACGUGUUUUUCGCGCAGUUUCUAGGGAGCCAGCGCAACAUGGAACAGAUGCAGCGCAACAUGGAAUCAGCCCUGCGCAAUAUUGCUGACAAUACCUGCCGUGGGGAUAACCAGGGCGGCCGUGAAGCCAAUCAAUACAGCUCUUUCAAGGACUUCAUGGAUACCAAACCACCAGUCUUCAAGGAGGCCUUAGCACCGCUCGAGGCAGAUGAGUGGAUCAACACCAUGGAGCAAAAGUUCCAUCUUCGGAUGACUGAAGAACUUAAGGCUGAGUAUGCGGCACAUUAGUUGCAGGGACCUGCUGGGAUUUGGUGGUCCCAUCACCGUACCACCUACCCAGAGGGGACCCCAAUCACCUGGAACUGCUUCACCACCGUGUUUCGGGGAAAUUACAUUCCUCCGGGUGUGGUGGAAAUGAAGGUUGGGGAGUUCAUGAGGCUAUCCCACAGAACGAAGUCUGUGAAGGAGUAUCUACACGCUUUCCAUAAUCUUGCUCGCUACGCCCCCGAGUUUGUGAACACGGAGGCCAAGAAGAUCGCUAGUUUCUAGAGAGGCUUGAACCCAAAGAUGCUGAAGACCAUGGGUACCGGAGCCCGGGCUACAGUGACUGUCUGACCUAGGAAAAUAAUAACAACAACUACAGUGCAUCCAGGUCUCGUAAGAGGGCUUUCAAAGCCGGGUCAUCUCAGUCGAGGGCACCGGUGGCAGGGCGAUAGCAGUAUCGUCCUCCUACCCCAGGUGCUAGGUUCCAAUCGCUGGAGAGAAGGAACACCGGGCAUCCAACGCAGCAGAAGCCGUACAAGGUGGCAAUAGCUCCUGCCAAGCCAAAAGUAGUUCAGGCUGCGGCACCUGCCGCCAACAACAUGACCAAGGGGCCAUGCUACAACUGCCACAAGAUGGGGCACUUUGCUAAGGAAUGUCCCUACCCCAAGAGGCAGCAGACGACCUACCCAGCACGAGUGCACCAUACCUCGAUAGAGGAAAUCUCAGAAGGAGAACCGGUAACAGCUAGUAUGUUUCCUAUCAACCAACACCUUGCAGUUGUUUUGUUUGAUUCUGGAUCAUCACAUUCAUUCAUGAGCCAAGCAUUUGCACAAAAGCAUGACCAAACAGUUAUAGAUUUGGGUUAUGGCUAUCGCAUCAGCUCAGCAGGGGCAGAUGUGUUGACAAAUAGAGUGGUCUGAGGGGUAACCUUGGAUAUAAGUGACCGGGUGUUUCGAGUAAAUCUGGUAGUUAUGCCUGGGUUAGUUUUGGAUGUUAUCAUGGGCAUGAACUGGAUGAAAGAGUGGGAUGCUGUCAUAGAUACUGGGAAGAGGGUGUUAUCCCUCAGAGAACCUCAGGGCAGUGGAUCUUUUCAAGUACCUCUGCCCCGUCGCUUGGACUUUGCUAGCUUCUAUUUUGCUACGCACGUGGUUCCUCUACCACAGAUCUCAAUAGUCUGUGGGUUCCCUGAUGUUUUUCCUAAGGAAUUGCCAGGACUUCCCCAGAUAGGGAAGUAGAGUUCGCAAUAGAGUUGAUACUAGGUACCACACCAAUAUCUAGAAGGCCGUACCGGAUGCCGCCUAAUGAACUCACUGAGUUGAAGAAUCAGCUGAAGGAGUUACUGGAUAAAGGGUUCAUCCGCCCAAGUUCGUCGGAAUGGGGUUGUCCGGCGUUGUUUGUGAAAAAGAAGGAUCAAUGCGGUAGCAAUCAAGAAUAAGUUUCCAUUGCCAAGGAUUGAUAUCCUGUUUGAUCAGUUGUCCAAAGCCAGAGUGUUUUCCAAGAUAGAUUUAAGGUCCGGGUAUCACCAAAACAAGAUCUGUCCGCAAGAUAUCCCGAAGACUGCUUUUUCCACCAGAUAUGGGUUGUACGAGUAUCUGGUCAUGCCCUUCGGGUUGACAAAUGCUCCUGCAUACUUCAUGUAUCUGAUGAAUUCGGUCUUUAUGCCAGAGUUAGACAAGUUUGUUGUGGUGUUCAUCGACGACAUUCUGGUUUAUUCUGAGAAUGAGCAAGAUCACGCCGAGCAUCUAAGAGUCGUGCUAACAUGACUACAAGAGCAUCAGUUGUAUGCAAAGUUUAGCAAGUGUGAGUUCUGGCUGAAGAGAGUUCCUUUCCUAGGGCAUAUUCUGUCUGAAGAAGGGAUUGUUGUGGAUCCGUCAAAGGUACAGGAAGUUAUGGACUGGAAGGCACCAACUUCUGUCUCGGAAGUUCGAAGCUUUCUUGGCCUAGCCGGGUAUUACCGUCGUUUCAUACCCGACUUUUCCAAGAUUGCUAAGCCAAUGACCAGUUUGUUGCAAAAUGAUCAUAAGUUUGUCUGGACGGAAGGGUGUGAACUAGCCUUCCGCACUUUGUGAAAGUUACUAACCGCCGCUCCCGUUUUAGCGCAACCCAAUAUCGAGAAGCCUUUUGAUGUGUUUUGCGACGCAUCGAAAAGUGGCUUGGGAUGUGUGCUGACGCAAGAUGGCAGAGUAAUAGCUUACGCUUCACGAUAGUUAAGGAAGCACGAAGUCAACUACCCAACUCACGACCUCAAGUUAGCAGCAGUGGUGCACGCUCUGAAGAUUUGGAGGCACUAUUUGUUAGGAAAUAAGUGUCAUAUAUACACAGAUCACAAAAGUCUGAAGUACAUCUUCACUCAGUCCGAGUUGAAUAUGAGGCAAUGACGAUGGUUGGAGCUGAUCAAGGAUUACGAUCUAGAAGUCCAUUAUCAUCCGGGCAAGGCUAAUGUGGUAGCAUAUGCUUUGAGUCGCAAACCGCACUAUCAAGUGGUUCAACCGUUGUUUGAGGAUGGGUUCAAUCUCAUGCAUCCUGAAGUCUUAUGUCACAUACAGUUCAGUUGUUCACUGGAAAGUCAAGUCACCGAGGGUCAGAAAACAGACAAGGGUAUUUUCCACAUCAAAGAAAAGAUCAAAAAUGACCCAAGGACUCAGUUCAAAGUUGAUGAAAAAGGGGUAUUAUGGUUUCAACACUGGCUGGUAGUCCCGAAGAAUCGAGAAUUAAAGAACCGCAUCAUGGAUGAAGCACAUCUCUCCAAGCUUUCUAUUCAUCCUAGUAGUAGUAAGAUGUAUCAAGACCUAAGAUCUCACUUUUGGUGGACUAAAAUGAAGAAAGAAAUAGCAGCAUAUGUGGCCCGUUGUGACACAUGUUGUAGAGUCAAGGCUAUACAUAUGAAACCUGUAGGUCUGUUGCAACCGUUGUCUUCCAGAGUGGAAAUAGGAAGAGGUCAGCAUGGACUUUAUCACAGGUUUACCUACAACGCAAAAGGGGAAUGACUCGAUUUGGGUAAUCAUAAAUCGAUUAACCAAGUCGGCUCAUUUCAUUCGUGUUAAGACUCGCUACAGACCUCCCGAGUAUGCUGAUCUGUAUCUAGCUGAGAUUGUUAAGUUGCAUGGUAUUCCCUGGACCAUCAUAUCAGAUAGAGGACCGCAGUUCACCGCUCAUUUCUGGGAGCGAAUGCAUAAGAGUUUGGGAACUAGUCUGAUAAGAAGCACAGCGUAUCAUCCCCAAACCUCGGGUCAAAUGGAAAGACUCAAUCAAGUACUAGAAGAUAUGCUCAGGGUUUGUGUGUUAUCAUCCAAGGGAUCAUGGGAAUCGUGGUUGCCUUUGGCUAAGUUCUCAUACAAUAAUAGCUAUCAAGAGAGUAUCAUGAUCGCCCCGUUCGAAGUGUUUUAUGAUAGUAAGUGUAGGACUCCGUUAGACUGGGUCGAACCUGGUGAAAGGAGAUACUAUGGCAUCGACUUCGUAAACGAGGCUGAGAAAAAGGUGCAAAUCAUACAACAACAUAUGCAGGCGGCACAAUCACGACAAAAGAGUUAUGCCGAUAAGAGGAGAAGGCCACUUGAAUUCAAUGUGGGUGACUAUGUUUACCUCAAGGUUACGCCAAUGAAGAAAGUGCAGCGUUUCCGGGUUCGAAGCAAGCUUGCACCCCGAUAUGUGGGACCGUACCAGAUACUAGAAAGAAAAGGCCCCAUGGCCUACAAGAUUCAAUUACCUGAAGAGUUGAGUUCAAUCUUUCCAGUUUUCCAUGUGUCCCAGCUACGGAAAUGUUUGAAGGUACCCGAGCAAAGGAUUGAACCCCGAGGAAUCAAAAUAAAGGCAGACUUAGAAUAUAAAGAGUAGCCAGUGGGUAUCAUGGAUGCCAAGGAGCGGGUAACCCGGAAAAGAGUUGUCAAAACAUAUAAGGUGGUGUGGAGUCAUCAUGAUGUAACAUCCCCGAUGUUACGGUUACUAAAAGCGGAUCAUGUCAUCAUGAGCAUUGCAAAGCAUAUUUGUUAAGCAUAUUAGUAUGCAUCAACUUAAAACAAGUUUACUUUGAUUGCUUGAGCUUAGGGAAGUAGAGUGUGCUUUUGUUGUGUGUUGAUGCUUGCUAAAACCCUAGGGUGGAAGUUUUCCGAAAAGCUAGGGGGGGAACCCUGAUUUUGGAACCCUAAAUUUGCCCCCUUUUGCAUAACUUAAAAACCAAGCAAAAUUUGAGGUUGAGUUCAAAAGCAAAGUUGUGGAUCUUGUCAAGAUAUACAACUUUGGUGUUUUGAGUUUUUGAAGUUUCAAUAUAAAAUUCAAAGUAAUUUUGAAAAUACAGAUUUCCAAAAAGUGUCCCCUUUUCUAACUUAAAUCCCCAAUUCAAAAUCCAUUUGGAAUUUUGAAAAGUGGUCAACAUGAAAGUUGUAGAGCACAAAAAGUUAAGCAACUUUCAUGUUGGGAGUUUUUCAAGUUGUUAUGCAAAAUCAAAAGUAAUUUUGGAAAUCAUGAUUUGCCCCAAUUCAAAAUUUGAAUUUCCUUUGAAUUGAGUUUGAUUUUCAAACUGUCUGGCAAAAUUAACCUUUUUCCAUUGAGAAUCAGCUUGGGACACCUAAAUAUGAUUUGUAGCUUACAAAAUUUGGCACAACUUUUGUUUUGGUGGAAAUUUGACUUUAGUUCAAGUUUUGGUCGGAUUUCACAAAAAGACAAAUUGAAUGGAUAUGGUCUGCUACAGUGUUCGGUAGGGGGGGGUGCUUUGCCGCCGCGGCAGAGCCGCCUCCGCGCGCGACGCCACGCAGCUAGCCACGCAGCUGCUUGCUGCUGUGCUUCGCGUGGACGGCCUCAUCCACAUCCCCUGUUCCGCCGCUUGGAUAAAGCCUCAGACGGCCGGAGUUUUUCUUUUUCUUCCUUUGAACCUCACCGCCGACCACCACCAUCCGCCGCCAAAAUUCGUCUUCCUCGUUGCCGUUCCAAGCCAUUUGAGCACCCCCGCAGCUCCGCCUUGAGCCCCGCCACCGAUUGCACCCCCAAACACACGCUCUACCCUACCGUAGCUCCUACCCGCGCCGUUUCCCUCCUCAACUCCGGCCGAGCGCCGCCGCGAGCACGUCACCGUGGCCAGCGUCAACCGGAGCCUCUACGCUGCCGCUUCUUGCUCGGUUGUAGUCGUGGUGAGCCCCUGGUGCUUUUGCGCUGCUCCAGUCACGCUCUACUCGCUCGUAGUGGCCGGCGUUUGCUCGGCCGAGGCGGCCGUCCGCCGUGCCCGUGGUCACGGGGGUUAGGAUAGAGGAGAGUGGGAGAAAAGGGUGUCCCUGGGUGCGCGGGAGGUUGAGGAAGCUAACGCGUCUCACCGCGGAGGCCGAGAGCUCGCCGGAGCCGCGGCGCUAGGAAGGAGAUGGAGCUGACGAGCGGGACCCGCCCGUCAGCGACCGCGUGAGAGAGAGAGGGAGAGGGCGCUGAGCGCGGGAGAGCUCGCGGGCCGUCUUGGGCCGGGUCCGAGCAGGCCGCCAGCACUACACAGUGCACUUUUUCUUUUUCCUUUUUGUUUAAAAACGUUUGAUAUUUGAAUUUGAAUAUUGAAUUGUGUAGUGGUCCAAAAAUAGUGAAACUUUUUGGGUAGGUUCCAGAAAAUGUAUAGAGCCUAGGAAAAAUAUUAGAAUUUAUUUCUCUGAUAGUUUGCAUGUCUAUAAAAAUUGGCUCUUUAAUUAGUGAAUAAAACUUCUAGGAAUUUUAGUAAUUUAUUAGGGGGUCCAAAAAUCAACAAAAAUUGUGGAGAGCCUCUGAGUGGUAUUCCCUGGCUCCACACAAAAAUUUGGUGGCAUUUGGAUAAUGUUUGAUUAAAAUACUAAUAAAUCCUUAUUUAGCACUUAAAUAAUAAUUCCAAAAUAAUUAAAUAGUGAUUAUUUAGAUUCUCAUAAUUAGGGUUGAGUGAUUUUGGGAUUGUGUGAUGACCUGAGGUCGUUAACCCUAAUGACCUUUGGCAUUUUAUUAUUAUUUAGCCUUAAUGCUUAAUUACUGUCAUUAGUAGUUAAUUAAGAAUUAAUUAAGGUAAAUAGGAUUAAUAAUUAACUAAAUUAAGAUAAUUAUGAAUUAAAUAAAGUUUUAGUUUACAGAUGCAACCUCUUGGGUAAAAACAUUAAGAUAUUAAACAACUUUACUUAUUGAUUAUUCUGUAUUGCAUCAAAAAGGCAAGUUGUACUCGAUUCGGUCCUUCUUGCAUAAUUGUCAUACGCAUAUCAUGAGCAUUCAUCAUUUUGCGUAUAGUGUCCGUGACCGAAGGAGCGCCCGUUGAACCGAACCCCGAGCUCGGUGCUCCGUUCGAGGAAGUCGGAUCCGAGACUUGGGAAGUCUCCGAGGGUCCCUCUCUGCCCUACAACCAAGGCAAGCCCCGGAUGCAUUAACCCCUCCUUGGAUGUUUUAAAUCUUUUAUCACUUAUGAAUUGAAAAUGCUGCAUUAGGUAGUUGAGAAUUGGGUCAACCUACUUGCUGCAUUUACUACCUUGAUAUCUGUAUCCUGUCCUUGACACCUGUUUUAUUUUAAAACUGCGUAGCGAUGCUUAGCCCUGCUACUAGAUAGGUUUUUUUUUAAAACAAGAAAGUUUGAAGGGUUGUUGUGGGAUACACUUAUGAUCAAUGAUGUUUCAAUUUGAGACCGGUUGGUGGACUUGCUCGAAGAAUGGAGUCUUAAAGUAGUGUCUCCGACUGUGUCGAUUAAGGACCGUUCCGUUGAUGGCCUGCUGGGUUGAGAAUUUAUAGUACUAACCGCUUGCCCUCGGUAAGCCCAGUCUUGUGAUCCCUCGACGCGAACAGCUACUCGCGCACUGGGAGUGGAAAGAUGGCGAGAGUAACGUGUGCCCACCUUACGGAUCUGAGAUGACCGGAAAACAUCUAGAUCGGCUGUAGGAUGGUGGGGUACUGUGCUCUCGGGUGCCGCGAACCUGGUCAGAUUUGGGGAGAGCUUGAUUUGGGUUGAUAUAUGCAAGAUUUGGUUCUACAUAUGUCGGGUGGUUAGGAACUCCAGCUGGAUUGCUAAGCGAUUCGAAUCGUCGUUGCUCCCCGAUUGGGAGACUCAAUUCCUUCGACCCUCAUCGUAUGUAAAUAAGCAACUGAAUGAUAAAAUGAGAAAGGGGAAAAUGUCUCAUGAGGUUCGGAUCCCAAUUCCCGGACUCAUAGCGACAUGAAGCUAUGGCCAUCGAUAAAUAAUACUUGACGUUAGGAUUAGGAACUCACGGAUUCGUCUGUGAGGAACAACUAGUUAAACUAUCCUCGAACUCCUCGGCCUUUGCGGGAGAGGAAUUCGCGGUUAAAACUUGAAAACAAGGAUGCACUACUAGUAAGCUUUUAGCAAAACAUUUUGGCUCCUUGCUCAGCCUCCCCUUGUCUACCCUAAACCUGCAUCCCUAAGUUCUCCUCUUUUCCCAUCGGGUAAGUCUUGUUGAGUACUCCCGUACUCAGGGUUUCAAUACCCCUGUUGCAGGUGAAGCACAGGAGCCAACUUGUUUCGGACCCUGUUGUGUGACCGUCGUCGAGGUUGACGACGAGGAAGAGUGAGCGUGACCCAUGGGCAGGGUCUGUAAAUUUGUGAUGACUGUACUAAAGUUUAAGUUGCUCCGCUGGACCAGGCUUGUAAUAACACUCUACUAUUUGGAAGAACUCCUUUUGUAAAUUAAGUUAUGUAAUACUUCCGCUGUUUUACUCUGAAAUAUUAUUUUAGUCUUGUGUCGUUUGAGUUACUGCUUUAUCUUCGCAACGAAUGAUCCUGGUGUUAAGGUGGCCACUUGCUAUCCUGUAAGGGCGAGAAGAAGCAGUUCUCAUUGUUUGACAUUGCUAGUGGUCAGAACGAGCCAGCUUGGUACGCCACAGGUAGCAGUGGAAUGAGCGUCCAACGAUGCUCAUCGGACUUCUAAGGUGGGAGGACUCCCGGCAUCACCGUCAGAGGUCCUUAGGACAAUAGCAGGUGCCGGUGGGCCCAAACACUUAGGGGGUUCUGCCACAACUGGUAUCAGAGCAUUCGUUGCUAAGAUGACUGCUGUAACUAUUGAAAAACUUCGAAAUUCGUUUGGAUCUAAUACUAUGAACCUGACUAUUUUGAGUCCAAGUGCUUAGUCCUAACCUACCCCUGUCUAUAGGCUUUCUUAGAAUUUUUGUGGUUUGGAGGAGCAACAUAAAGUAUUGCCCUAUGUUGUAAAAAUUUAAAGUAAUAUCGUUACGAAGUGUUAGUGGGAAUCGUAAGUUUGUGCAUGCAUCAUGACGUAUUAACUGGUUAAGUUCCUUCCUCCUUGUUUGGGUUGGGUGAAUAGAAUCAAUCCUAUUCUUGCUAACCUUUAAGGUCUCUCUUACUAAUCUAAACUUACCCUCUACAGGAUGGCUCGUCAGAAGCAGACCCCGCGUAAGCGGACCGGUCCAAAAGGAGUUCCCCGACAUCAGCUAGCUCCACGCAGUGAUCAAGCCAGUAGUAGCCGUUCGCCACCUCAGCAGGAGGUGGACAGGUUGUCCGCCGAGUUGACUGAGGUGAUGAGAGAGAGAAUGUACAAUGUUAUGGAGAUUGGCAACCUUAAAGCUCAACUGGCCAAAGAAAAACAAGCUACGGAGAACUGUGAGGCUAUGUUGUCCCGGAUGGUGGAGGAGCGGAAUGCAGCCAUUGCACGAGAGGAAGAAGCUAGGAGUACCCACAGGCAUGAGCUAACUAGGAUGAAUGCAAAGCUGGGCAAGGCCAGGUAUCUUAAGGAUUUGUACGUGAAGAUGGCGGCCACGGUCACCGCACAGCGGGAUGUCGCGUGGCAACGAGAGGACCAGCUCCAGCUAGAGAAACUGGAGCUGGCACAUCACUUAGAUACAGUCAAUGACCUGGCUAUGCAAUAUUGUGAUAUUGCAUUUGAUCUGUAUCAUCAACUCCACCCACCUCCCGGCGAAGGGGAAAUGGAUACGGAUGGCGAGUUGGUAGACGAUGGGGAACCUGAUCCCGGCCUCAGUGAUGAAGAGGAGUCCGACCCCGAUGACCACAACCCAGGGGGUAAUCAGGAUGAUGGCAAUGACGACCCGGGCUACAGCUCUGGCCACACCGAUUAGUUCGGUGAAACCGAGGGCAACGUCGUUGUAGGAGUUCUAGCUUGCCGUAGUGGGGUUUGGGUUUGUAAUAUAAGUUCUCUUUCGGUUUGAGAAGUGUACCUGUUUACUCUUGGUGUGUUGAACUAAUGUUUAAUAAGUGAAUGGAAGAAUGUAAGAUAUGUUCUGUGUUGUGAAUUUCACGUGGUAACAGGUAUCUACGAUUCUUGUAACAGAUGCCGAUGCGUACUCGCGGAUCUGAGGGAGCUGGGACAUCCCAGGGAGGGGAUGAUAUCCCCAACCCUCCACCUGCUCCACCUUCUUUGGCUGACGCCAUUGCUGUUCUGCUAAGUGCCACAACUGACAACGCUCGCUUGCUGCGCGAGCUAGCACAGCGUCAACCACACCCUGCUCCAAACUUCAGGGCACCACGCAACGGGGACGGAGAGACUCGGUAUGUGGACUUUACCGAGACCAGGCCCCCGGUGUUCACUAAGGCCGAUGAGCCUUUAGAAGCGGAUGACUGGCUCCGAACCAUGGAGCAUAAGUUCAGUUUGAUUCAGUGUUCAGAAACUCAGAAGCCCCUGUUUGCAGCCCAGCAGCUUCGGGGACUGCAGGUGCCUGGUGGGAGAACUUCUUAGCUAUCCAAGCUCCCGGUCACCAGGUUACCUGGACCGAGUUUAGGGACGCGUUUCGUGCCCACUACAUCCCCGAAGGGCUCAUGGCCAUGAAGGCCGAAGAGUUUCUCGCCUUGCAGCAAGGCGAUAAAAGUGUUAUGGAGUACGUGGCAAGGUUUAAUCAUCUCUCUCAAUAUGCCACGGAUCAUGUGAACACUGACAGAAAGAAGAAAGCCUGUUUCAUGCGUGGUCUAAAUACUAAACUUCAGACCAUGAUGACCACUUGCCAAAAUGCUACUUUCUAUGAGGCGGUAAAUAUUGCUAUCGCCUCAGAGGAAAAGAAUAGAAAACACAAGGAAGCCAAGAAGAAGGCUGCUUCCUCUUCUUUCUCUGGUCGCGGUCAAAAGCGCCAGAAGAUCAUUUAUCAUCCACAGGGCCACGGACGCUUCCCAGCGCCGUCACCUUAUCGUGGUCCUUUCUCCCCUCCACAGUACAGACCCGGGCAGCAGGUAUAUUCUCGACCUACUGCCAUCGCUUUUGCACCACGCCAGCCGAACGCCCCGGGUGUUCGCCCCACUGCUUCACCCAGCCACAAUUACCCUUGCUUCAAUUGUGGUAAGCUUGGGCAUUUCUCUAAAGAGUGCCCUUUUCCCCGCCAAACCAACUCUACCUUCCAAAGGCCACCUAUGGGCCAACCCCAGCCAAGUCAGUUCAGGACUGGGGCUCAAAAAGGGCAACAGGUACAGAAAGGUAGACCGGCAAAGAAGACAGGGCAAGUCUUCCAUACUGAAGUGGAGACAAUUCCAGAGGGUGAACCAGUGAUGAUGGGUACGUUUCCUGUUGCGAAACAUCCUGCUUUAAUGCUCUUCGAUUCUGGUGCAUCUCAUACAUUCAUUAAUCGCACCUUUGUGUUAAAGCAUGGCAUACCCAUUGGGGAAACACAAGAUCAUUUUUAUAUACAGUCGCCAGGAGGACGGCUGAUGUCCAAAGAAAUGGUUCACCAAGUACCCAUCGAAUUUGGUGGGCAUAAUUUUCCUACUAGCAUGAUUGUUCUCAAGGACCAAGAAAUUGAUGUCAUCUUGGGCAUGAACUGGAUGGCGCAACGAGGGGUUGUGCUAGACACUUUGCAUCGAACCAUUAAAAUCCCAUUGCCCAAUGAGAAUUCUUAUUUACUCCCAAGCGGACAAUUGGGCAAGUUCAUGCCGCUAAUGUGUCUGAAGUCAAAGAUAUCCCGGUAGUUCGAGAUUUUACGGAUGUAUUUCCUGAAGACUUACCAGGUCUGCCUCCGGACCGGGAUGUACAAUUCAGUAUAGAACUGAAACCAGGAACAGCCCCAAUAUCUCGAAGGGCCUACAGAAUGGCACCGAAAGAGCUGGCCGAAUUAAAAACCCAAUUACAAGAGUUGUUACAGAAAGGUUUUAUUCAGCCCAGUUCUUCUCCAUGGGGUUGCCCAGCCUUGUUUGUGAAAAAGAAAGAUCAGACAUUAAGGCUGUGUGUCGACUAUCGUCCCCUAAAUGAGGUGACGAUUAAGAACAAGUACCCAUUGCCCCGCAUUGACUUAUUGUUUGACCAGCUAGCUGGGGCCAAAGUAUUCUCAAAAAUUGACUUGAGAUCAGGGUACCACCAAAUUAAAAUUAGGCCGGAAGAUGUGCCCAAGACAGCUUUUACAACCCGUUACGGGCUAUAUGAAUACUUGGUGAUGUCCUUUGGGUUGACCAAUGCACCGGCCCAUUUCAUGUACCUGAUGAACUCUGUCUUCAUGCCAGAACUAGAUAAAUUUGUUGUAGUCUUUAUUGACGACAUUUUGAUUUACUCCAAAACUAAGAAAGAACAUGCUGAACAUUUGAGGGUAGUGCUGACUCGUCUCAGGGAACAUCAGCUAUACGCCAAGUUCAGCAAAUGUGAGUUCUGGCUGGACAAAGUCCAUUUCCUGGGUCAUGUAUUAUCAGCGGAGGGAGUCGCUGUAGACCCAGGCAAGGUAGAAGAUGUGUUGAAUUGGAAACCCCCGACUACGGUACAUGAGGUCCGUAGUUUUCUAGGUAUGGCGGGAUAUUACCGUCGUUUUAUCCCGGACUUUUCCAGAGUCGCCAAACCAAUCACAACCUUGCUCAAAAAUCAAACCAAGUUUGUUUGGUCACCCCAAUGUGAGCAAGCCUUUCAGACUCUGAAAAGGUUGUUGACAACUGCACCUGUCUUAGCCCAGCCAGAUAUUGAAAAACCCUUUGAUGUAUAUUGUGAUGCAUCAGGAAUCGGGAUAGGCUGUGUGCUAAUGCAGGAGGGUCGCGUAAUUGCAUAUGCUUCCAGACAACUCAAACCCCAUGAAGAGAAUUACCCGACCCAUGAUCUUGAACUAGCCGCCGUGGUACAUGCAUUAAAGAUCUGGCGUCAUUAUCUGUUGGGGAACACAUGUCAUCUAUAUACAGAUCACAAAAGCUUGAAGUAUAUCUUUACUCAAGCUGAGCUUAAUAUGCGCCAGCGAAGGUGGCUAGAAUUAAUUAAAGAUUACGACCUUGAGGUGCAUUAUCACCCUGGCAAGGCAAAUGUAGUAGCUGAUGCCCUCAGUCGUAAGGCUCACUGCAAUUGCGUAACAGUGAUGCUUAGAGACAUAACUUUGUGCCAAGAGCUAGAGAACUUGGGAAUAGAAAUGAUUUCCCAAGGAAGCCUUACCAAUCUAAAGAUCGAUUUCAAUCUCGAAGCUCAAAUCAUAAAAGCACAAAAAGAAAACAAAGGCAUGAGACAUCUUAAAGAGAAGAUUUCUAAUAGAGCACCCACAGACCUUAAGGUGGAUGAUGCAGGAGUAAUUUGGUUCAAGAACCGGUUAGUGGUUCCAAAGGUACCUGAGCUACGUCAACAAAUCCUAGAUGAAGCUCAUACCACGAGGUAUUCUAUUCAUCUGGGAAGCAAUAAGAUGUAUCAGGACCUAAGGCAAAGGUUUUGGUGGACAAAAAUGAAGAUAGAGAUAGCUCGCUAUGUGGCCCAAUGUGACACCUGUCGAAAGGUCAAAGCCAUUCAUCUCAAGUCCGCUGGGGAGUUGCAACCUUUGCCUAUCCCCGCAUGGAAAUGGGAUGAUAUAAGUAUGGAUUUCAUAGUAGGAUUGCCCAAGACGGCCAAGGGCUUUGAUUCCAUUUGGGUCAUAGUAGAUCGUCUCACCAAACCAGCACAUUUUCUGCCAGUAAAGCUAUUGUAUCCUGCCUCCACCUAUGCUAAGAUUUAUUUCGACCGUAUCCUAAGUCUGCAUGGGGUGCCAAAGACAAUAGUGUCUGAUAGGGGCACACAAUUUGUCUCCCAAUUCUGGAAAUGUUUACAUGAGUCCCUGGGCACUAAGCUUUUAUACAGCACAGCCUACCACCCUCAAACCGGUGGGCAAACUGAAAGGGUGAAUCAAACCCUAGAAGAUCUAUUAAGAUCUUGUGCCCUGAAUUUUCCAGAUAAGUGGGAUGACUGCUUGCCUCUAGCAGAAUUUUCUUACAAUAAUAGCUACCAAGAGAGUAUCAAGAUGGCUCCUUUUGAGGCACUGUAUGGUCGCCGAUGUCGAACUCCAUUACACUGGUCGGAACCUGGAGAAAGAUGGUUCUUCGGUGUUGACCUAGUGAAAGAGACUGAGAACAAAGUGAAACAAAUCCAAAAUAACUUGAAAGUUGCUCAGUCUCGACAGAAAAGUUAUGCUGAUAAAAGACGUCGACCAUUAAAAUUCGCCAAAGGUGAUCAUGUAUAUCUGAAAGUAUCCCCAAUGAAAGGAGUAAAUCGUUUUGGGGUUAAAGGCAAGUUAGCGCCUCGUUACAUUGGUCCAUUUCCAAUCAUUGACCGAUGUGGCCAGGUCGCUUACCGCCUUAAACUGCCCGAACGAUUAUCCGGGGUGCAUAAUGUGUUCCAUGUGUCUCAACUGAAAAAGUGUCUUCGGAUACCAGACCGAGUUCAGGAUAUUGAAGAUGUAGAACUUGAACCAGAUCUAACUUAUUCGGAGUAUCCUAUCCGAGUACUGGAUCAGAAAGAUAGAGUUACUCGAAGAACAACCACCAAAUGGUACAAGGUACAAUGGAGCCAGCACUCUGAAGAGGAAGCCACCUGGGAAUCUGAAGAUUACUUGCUAGAGAAUUUCCCUGAAUUCCACGCUUCUCUUCAGGACAACAUAUGAUAAAUAGAGAGUGUACUCUAGUGAAGGAAAAGAGUCGCCAGAGCCAUGUACUUAAUGUACGAAUAUGCUUAUAAUGGAGUGUUUUCCCCAACUUCUUGCCUUAUGGGAAAGUUGAAGACGAAAGAGUUUUGACAAAUUUCCUUUUCCAUUGCUUACCCUAAGGUUUUAAAUCUCGGGGACGAGAUUUCUUUAAGGGGGAAGGGCUGUAACAUCCCCGAUGUUACGGUUACUAAAAGCGGAUCAUGUCAUCAUGAGCAUUGCAAAGCAUAUUUGUUAAGCAUAUUAGUAUGCAUCAACUUAAAACAAGUUUACUUUGAUUGCUUGAGCUUAGGGAAGUAGAGUGUGCUUUUGUUGUGUGUUGAUGCUUGCUAAAACCCUAGGGUGGAAGUUUUCCGAAAAGCUAGGGGGGGAAACCCUGAUUUUGGAACCCUAAAUUUGCCCCCUUUUGCAUAACUUAAAAACCAAGCAAAAUUUGAGGUUGAGUUCAAAAGCAAAGUUGUGGAUCUUGUCAAGAUAUACAACUUUGGUGUUUUGAGUUUUUGAAGUUUCAAUAUAAAAUUCAAAGUAAUUUUGAAAAUACAGAUUUCCAAAAAGUGUCCCCUUUUCUAACUUAAAUCCCCAAUUCAAAAUCCAUUUGGAAUUUUGAAAAGUGGUCAACAUGAAAGUUGUAGAGCACAAAAAGUUAAGCAACUUUCAUGUUGGGAGUUUUUCAAGUUGUUAUGCAAAAUCAAAAGUAAUUUUGGAAAUCAUGAUUGGCCCCAAUUCAAAAUUUGAAUUUCCUUUGAAUUGAGUUUGAUUUUCAAACUGUCUGGCAAAAUUAACCUUUUUCCAUUGAGAAUCAGCUUGGGACACCUAAAUAUGAUUUGUAGCUUACAAAAUUUGGCACAACUUUUGUUUUGGUGGAAAUUUGACUUUAGUUCAAGUUUUGGUCGGAUUUCACAAAAAGACAAAUUGAAUGGAUAUGGUCUGCUACAGUGUUCGGCAGGGGGGGGGUGCUCUGCCGCCGCGGCAGAGCCGCCUCCGCGCGCGACGCCACGCAGCUGGCCACGCAGCUGCUUGCUGCUGUGCUUCGCGCGGACGGCCUCAUCCACAUCCCCUGUUCCGCCGCUUGGAUAAAGCCUCAGACGGCCGGAGUUUUUAUUUUUCUUCCUUUGAACCUCACCGCCGACCACCACCAUCCGCCGCCAAAAUUUGAGCACCCCCGCAGCUCCGCCUUGAGCCCCGCCACCGAUUGCACCCCCAAACACACGCUCUACCCUACCGUAGCUCCUACCCGCGCCGUUUCCCUCCUCAACUCCGGCCGAGCGCCGCCGCGAGCACGUCACCGUGGCCAGCGUCAACCGGAGCCUCUACGCUGCCGCUUCUUGCUCGGUUGUAGUCGUGGUGAGCCCCUGGUGCUUUUGCGCUGCUCCAGUCACGCUCUACUCGCUCGUAUUGGCCGGCGUUUGCUCGGCCGAGGCGGCCGUCCGCCGUGCCCGUGGUCACGGGGGUUAGGAUAGAGGAGAGUGGGAGAAAAGGGUGUCCCUGGGUGCGCGGGAGGUUGAGGAAGCUAACGCGUCUCACCGCGGAGGCCGAGAGCUCGCCGACGGCAUGCUGGAGCUCGCCGGAGCCGCGGCGCUAGGAAGGAGAUGGAGCUGACGAGCGGGACCCGCCCGUCAGCGACCGCGUGAGAGAGAGAGGGAGAGCGCGCUGAGCGCGGGAGAGCUCGCGGGCCGUCUUGGGCCGGGUCCGAGCAGGCCGCCAGCACUACACAGUGCACUUUUUCUUUUUCCUUUUUGUUUAAAAACGUUUGAUAUUUGAAUUUGAAUAUUGAAUUGUGUAGUGGUCCAAAAAUAGUGAAACUUUUUGGGUAGGUUCCAGAAAAUGUAUAGAGCCUAGGAAAAAUAUUAGAAUUUAUUUCUCUGAUAGUUUGCAUGUCUAUAAAAAUUGGCUCUUUAAUUAGUGAAUAAAACUUCUAGGAAUUUUAGUAAUUUAUUAGGGGGUCCAAAAAUCACCAAAAAUUGUGGAGAGCCUCUGAGUGGUAUUCCCUGGCUCCACACAAAAUUUGGUGGCAUUUGGAUAAUGUUUGAUUAAAAUACUAAUAAAUCCUUAUUUAGCACUUAAAUAAUAAUUCCAAAAUAAUUAAAUAGUGAUUAUUUAGAUUCUCAUAAUUAGGGUUGAGUGAUUUUGGGAUUGUGUGAUGACCUGAGGUCGUUAACCCUAAUGACCUUUGGCAUUUUAUUAUUAUUUAGCCUUAAUGCUUAAUUACUGUCAUUAGUAGUUAAUUAAGAAUUAAUUAAGGUAAAUAGGAUUAAUAAUUAACUAAAUUAAGAUAAUUAUGAAUUAAAUAAAGUCUUAGUUUACAGAUGCAACCUCUUGGGUAAAAACAUUAAGAUAUUAAACAACUUUACUUAUUGAUUAUUCUGUAUUGCAUCAAAAAGGCAAGUUGUACUCGAUUCGGUCCUUCUUGCAUAAUUGUCAUACGCAUAUCAUGAGCAUUCAUCAUUUUGCGUAUAGUGUCCGUGACCGAAGGAGCCCCCGUUGAACCGAACCCCGAGGUCGGUGCUCCGUUCGAGGAAGUCGGAUCCGAGACUUGGGAAGUCUCCGAGGGUCCCUCUCUGCCCUACAACCAAGGCAAGCCCCGGAUGCAUUAACCCCUCCUUGGAUGUUUUAAAUCUUUUAUCACUUAUGAAUUGAAAAUGCUGCAUUAGGUAGUUGAGAAUUGGGUUAACCUACUUGCUGCAUUUACUACCUUGAUAUCUGUAUCCUGUCCUUGACACCUGUUUUAUUUUAAAACUGCGUAGCGAUGCUUAGCCCUGCUACUAGAUAGGUUUUUUUUAAAAACAAGAAAGUUUGAAGGGUUGUUGUGGGAUACACUUAUGAUCAAUGAUGUUUCAAUUUGAGACCGGUCGGUGGACUUGCUCGAAGAAUGGAGUCUUAAAGUAGUGUCUCCGACUGUGUCGAUUAAGGACCGUUCCGUUGAUGGCCUGCUGGGUUGAGAAUUUAUAGUACUAACCGCUUGCCCUCGGUAAGCCCAGUCUUGUGAUCCCUCGACGCGAACAGCUACUCGCGCACUGGGAGUGGAAAGAUGGCGAGAGUAACGUGUGCCCACCUUACGGAUCUGAGAUGACCGGAAAACAUCUAGAUCGGCUGUAGGAUGGUGGGGUACUGUGCUCUCGGGUGCCGCGAACCUGGUCAGAUUUGGGGAGAGCUUGAUUUGGGUUGAUAUAUGCAAGAUUUGGUUCUACAUAUGUCGGGUGGUUAGGAACUCCAGCUGGAUUGCUAAGCGAUUCGAAUCGUCGUUGCUCCCCGAUUGAGAGACUCAAUUCCUUCGACCCUCAUCGUAUGUAAAUAAGCAACUGAAUGAUAAAAUGAGAAAGGGGAAAAUGUCUCAUGAGGUUCGGAUCCCAAUUCCCGGACUCAUAGCGACAUGAAGCUAUGGCCAUCGAUAAAUAAUACUUGACGUUAGGAUUAGGAACUCACGGAUUCGUCUGUGAGGAACAACUAGUUAAACUAUCCUCGAACUCCUCGGCCUCUGCGGGAGAGGAAUUCGCGGUUAAAACUUGAAAACAAGGAUGCACUACUAGUAAGCUUUUAGCAAAACAUUUUGGCUCCUUGCUCAGCCUCCCCUUGUCUACCCUAAACCUGCAUCCCUAAGUUCUCCUCUUUUCCCAUCGGGUAAGUCUUGUUGAGUACUCCCGUACUCAGGGUUUCAAUACCCCUGUUGCAGGUGAAGCACAGGAGCUGACUUGUUUCGGACCCUGUUGUGUGACCGUCGUCGAGGUUGACGACGAGGAAGAGUGAGCGUGACCCAUGGGCAGGGUCUGUAAAUUUGUGAUGACUGUACUAAAGUUUAAGUUGCUCCGCUGGACCAGGCUUGUAAUAACACUCUACUAUUUGGAAGAACUCAUUUUGUAAAUUAAGUUAUGUAAUACUUCCGCUGUUUUACUCUGAAAUAUUAUUUUAGUUUUGUGUCGUUUGAGUUACUGCUUUAUCUUCGCAACGAAUGAUCCUGGUGUUAAGGUGGCCACUUUCUAUCCUGUAAGGGCGAGAAGAAGCAGUUCUCAUUGUUUGACCAUUGCUAGUGGUCAGAACGAGCCAGCUUGGUACGCCACAGGUAGCAGUGGAAUGAGCGUCCAACGAUGCUCAUCGGACUUCUAAGGUGGGAGGACUCCCGGCAUCACCGUCAGAGGUCCUUAGGACAAUGGCAGGUGCCGGUGGGCCCAAACACUUAGGGGGUUCUGCCACACAUGAUGAUAGGGAUGCCACCUGGGAAUCUGAGGAUUACCUAAAAACAGUUUACCCAAAAUUUCAUAAGAAAUGGUUAGUAACCCAAAUCUCGGGACGAGAUUUCCCUAAGGGGGGAAGGGCUAUAACACCCUAGGUGUUAAGCAUGCACUUAGUAUCAUAGAACAUUCAUAAGCAUUCUCAUCAAGCAUGGCAUAAGCAUCACAUCUCAUGAGCACAAUAAUAAUUCAAGUAUGAUUUUAUGUGCAUUAUUUUAUGUAAGUUAAAUAGGUUAAAAAUAUUAUGCUUGCUUCUAAAAAUUGUGUAAUAUUCAAAUUAGGUUGAAAUAUGUGUUAGAAGAAUUAAGAGUAAUUUUGUGAAAUUUUUGGAGCCAUAGGAUUUGAGAAAUGGAAUUUAUACAAAAAUCCCUAAAAUUAAUUUAUUUAAAAACCUAGGACUAGUUUUAAUCUGUGAUUCAAAUUCUAUUGGGAAUUUGACUUCACCUAUUAAAGCAAAGUUGUAGGGAGUUUUAUGAGGAGCAAUUCUUCUUUUCACUCCAACCCCUAAAAAGAUUUGUAAAAGCUUCAAAUGUCUUAUUCGAACUUUUUGGAGAAAAGAAAUUCAAAAAAAAAGAGAAAAGGGGAUAGGCGCUGCUGGGCCGACCCGCCUCCCUUUCGGCGUAGCCAGACAGCGCGGCCCGCUUCCCCUACCCUCUCUCUCCAGCGCGCGGCACUCACCUCGCUCCACCCGGUGCCGGCCACAUGGCGGCCGUACGCCGGCGUCGUGGACACGCCUCGGUCGACCGGCUUACCCCGGUCGGGACGGCACCCCGCGCCCCGACGCGCCAUUCGGUCCCCCGAUCCUCUCUCUCUUCUUCCUCCCCGUGCGAGCAGCAGCAGCAGCCACGGCGGUGCUCCACCGUGCGCCAUUGGCGCCGAAGCCCAGCUCCCAACUCCGGUCACCCGCGCUCGAUUAAGCCCACCCCUAGCACCGCCUCGACGAGCGCAAUCUCGUGCGCACGCUCUCGGCCGUCCGCGUCAAGGUAUUAGGUGAGAUUUCACCGCCGCGACAUGGCCGGAGCUCCGGCGAGCUCUCGGUCUGCGCGAAUCUUCCCUUCCCGACCCCCUUUCUCUUCGUUUGUUUGCGCGUUGUGGUCGUCGUGCUCCCGCGAACCCUAAGCACCCCUCCGUUCGCGCUCUAUCGGCCGGAGACGGCCGGACGCCAGUGAGCAGCGCCACCGAGCUCUGCCAUACGCCAUAGCUGCCGCUAGGGACCUCCUCCAUCGAUGAGAUCUAGCUCAACGUGUUUGCCUCGAAGAGACGAAACCGUAGGUGCCCUCCGCGCCACCGGAGACCUCACCGUCGGCGAGAGCCGGCCGGCCGAAGUCGGCCGGAGUGCUGCAUGGCUGACCCGUCGGGACAUAACCCCUGGGUCCCACCUGUCAGCGCCUCUGCGGGUGUGGAUCUGGGUGGAUCUAGCGUUUUCCAUCGGUUUUCUUAAAUAAUGGUUUUCCAGAAAUUGAUUUAAAUGAUGAAAAAUCCAUAUCUUGAGAUGCAUGGUUCCAAAAUUGAUGAAAUAAAUUUUGAUGUGUUCUAUAUUCUCAGAUCUAUAGUUUGGUAUGGUUGCAUGUCAUGUUUGAACAACUUUUCCGUACAAAUAUAUUUGAUCCAUGUUUUUGCUGAAUUUGGAAAAUACAUAGUAAUUAAAAUAUAGCUCAGAAAAAUAUGAAACUUGUUUUGUUGGCUCUGCAUGGAUGAUUAGGCUCUGGGAAAAAUAUGUUACACAUUAUUUGCUCUAUGAAUUAUUUUAUGAUGAUUUAAAUGCUUGCAUGGAAGUGGUUUAUGAUUUUUAAUAAAUAAUUGGGUCAUGGAAUUAAUCUGGAAAUUUUUGUGGGUGUUUCUUAUGAUAAUAAGUAAAUUAUAAAAUUAUGAAAUCUGCUGUUUGACACUUACACAACAAAAGGAUAAUUAUACUUAAUUAUAUGGGUUGAUCUUGUGAUUUUUGUAGCUCAAAAUAAAUGUCCAAAUAUUAUGAGAAAUUUAUGGUAGAGUCUAUGUUUUACUAGUGAUCUGCUAUAAUUUUUGUGGAGUUUAUGGAUAAGCAGAAAUAUAUGCUAUUUUUGUAUGCCUAAAAGUGGAUAAAUAAAUUAUGAAUUUGUUAUACAUAGAUUAAAUGAAGUAAAAUAAUGUUUGGUGUAUCUUUGAAGCAUCAUGUGAGUUUGCUGGUUAACCAUGAAUACAAUUUGUAGAAGAGAAUGCAAUAGAUGCUUAAUUCAAUUGCAUGUUCUUGGAUGAUGUUGACUACCUUGUAGAAAUGACCACCUAUAUCAUCUAUGCACUACGUCAUAGUCAUCUGUUACCCACUUGCAUAAGCAUUGCACCCCGGGCAUCUCGCACUCCACUCAUGAGCACACAUGCAUCAUAUAGGCUCACAGGAGAACGAGGUGGGACCCGAGGAGCAAGAGGAGACCCAGGAGCAGGAACCUCUGGGAGGACCGGAGCCUAGAGAAGAGCUGCAGGAGUGCCCGAAUCACAAGCCGAGCACGUUUCAGAAAGGCAAGCCCCGGAGCAUUUUAAGUCUCCCUAUUCUCGCUAACAUAAAUGAUAUAUUAUGCUUGUUCUACUAUGUGCAUUUAAGUGAUAGGAAUUGCUUGAUACCGUUGAUGCAUGAGUACUCCUUGAUAUCACCACUUUGUUUAUCUGCCUUGUCCUAUGUAGAUAGGUACAGAGUCUGUGCUUAGUUUGCUUAGUCCGGUAGAAGUCGGGUGAUUUCCUGUCACCUGCUAGAUAUAGGUGGAUACCUGCUUGAUUAAGCGGUGAUUGCUUUGGGAAAGAAUAACCAAGUGUGGAAGGGAAUUUGAGGCCGGGCAUGGUCUUAUGGUGGGUUGACCGUAGUGCCCCUGCCUGUGUCGAUUAAGUACCGAUCGUUGACGGCCCUCUUGUCAUGUUGAACGCAUGCCCCACACUUAGCUGGAAGGAUAAGUCGUUCGGACCGUGAAGCCUGAACACUAUCCGGACCGGGAGUCGAGCCGCCAUGUGUUGACGGUCCUUAAGUAUCAAAUUUAAUUAUCAAAUAAACAAAGAAAAGGAUCCAAAUGAAAUCAACAUCUUGACUUAGGGUUUUAUCUGACAGAAUUCCACGAGUUUGGUGUUUGUCUAUUUCUACAGGGGGUUAUCAGGAAAUAAGGAAGAAAGGCCCACAAGUCGGGAUUACAUAGAGAUAUUAACAUGCCGCACUAUUAUCUUACAUCUAGAAGACUCCAGAAGCCACGGGAAGGAAGUGGAGGCCGAACGGGGCCAGGGACUGGGCGCCCGCCCAGUUGCCCUGGGCGCCCGCCCUCUGUUGGAGUCCAAACAGGACUCUGUUUCGUGGGAGAUCUCCACCGACCCAAAGGAUCAAGGAUAACCGUUCAAUCAAUGUCGGUUUGAUCCAACGGCCCAUAUUCACUUGAAGGCACUAUAAAACUAGACCCCCUAGCCCCUGGAGGAGAGAGCCUCUCAACCCUAAUUCAUUAUUCUUCAAGGGAGAAGAAACCUCUGAUCAAGAUUAGAGCCACCACAUCAAUUAGAUAUCUAGAUUAGCAUAGCUACAUAGGAUUAGAACUAGAAGGAUUCAAUCUUUGAUUGGUUUCCGGAUCUGUCAAGAGGAUUCUUGGUAAUUCUAUAAUUGUGCUUCUAAUUGCUUUCUAAUUAUCUUUGUUCUUCAAUAUUAUGAAUAUGACUUUGUUCUACUUCAAUAUAUUGCUUAUGACUUUGCUCUACUUGUUUAUAUUCAAGAUUAUAUUGUUCUUAGAUUAUCAUAGUUAUGUACUUGGCUUAGUUAGAUUGGAUCUAUAUACAUGCUUAGGAUCGUAUAGCGUUUAUCCAUCGGAUCCAUGGGUAAAUGAUAGAUAUUGUGUAGGCGUGGUGCUUAUACCGUAUUUAUCUGCGAUUGUACCCAAUAUGCCAGAUCGUGGGGUAGUUCGUGAUAGUGACAGCUUCAUUGAUUCUUAUAUAGUCCCCCUCUCGUGUAUUGGGCUGGCAGAGCAAUAUUAUUACAGGAGAGUGAUUGCUAUGUUUCUCAUAUUCCUUGCUAAUAUCACUAUGCAUGGGCGUAGUCUUGUCUCACAAUGAUUGCUAAGUAUGCUUGUACUAACUAUGAUAAUGCUAGACUAUAUAGUUGAGAAUAACUUAGGAAAUAUUCUUGUAGUUCGUUCUAAUUCCAUGCUAAUGACUUUCUAGAGUAUCUAAUUGAGGUGCUUAUCAUAUUUAUUAUGUGGCUAAGUUAUGAUCAGAUUAAUUAUCUUUGUCACUAUUCAUUACUUCAUAAAUCUUUUAUGUGACACUUACCCCUGUAUGAAAGAGUUAGAUAGAUGUUCUCAAUUAUAUAUGCAAUGAUAGAUACUCAAUCUCAUAUUCUAUUCUGUAAUCAAUAUUGAUGAUUGUUAAUCCCUUCCCAGUGGUAAAAAUAUAAAUAACGAUACAUGGAAUACUUCCCGGUUAAAAUGCUACAUCGGUAUUAAUCUGUGCGCUUGCAGAUCCCAUUCAUUAUUUAUUUAGAAGAGCAAUUGCAUAUUUUAAUACCGCGUCUCUCAUGUCAUGCUGGGGAUGACAACUUGGCUUAAGUGGUAUGAGGGAUAGGUUUGGCAUUUUUGGCACCGUCGCUAGAAUUAGAAAACUGUCUACUUUUGGUAAUGAUGUUAAGAAUACCCAACAAGCAUUUUUGGCGCCGUUGCCGGGGAAGGUUGAUUACUAAUCAGGAAUGAAUAAAGGAUUUUGAGUUAUCAUUCGCAUCACUAAUAUGAUUGAGCUUAUCUAUUCUCUGAUACAGUUUUACCCCGAUAUUUUCUAUUUUAUCUUAUGUAGGGGAAUGUAUGAAUAGAAGACAUCUUCUACAAAAUUUUGUUGACAAUCCUGAAGCAUUAUUCAAGAAGACAAGAGCCAAGCUCAAGAAGAUAUCAUCAACACUUCAGCAAGAAGCUUCAUCCAAUCACGAAGAUCACCGGAACUUGUCUUCAGAGUUCGAAGCCAUGGCGAACAAAUCAAUCCGCGAGUUCUCAGCCCCACUACGGACAACAUCCGCAUUGGACCUGCUGCAGAGAUCGACGGCAACUUUGAGCUCAAGCCUGGACUUAUCAACAUGGUGCAAUCCAACCAGUGCUGUGGGAAAGCACAUGAAGAUGCCAGUGCUCAUCUCCAACACUUCCUGGAGAUUUGCAGCACAUUUACCAUAUCAGGAGUUUCUAGAGAUGCUAUACUACUUCGCCUCUUCCCAUUCUCACUGUUAGGAAGAGCGAAGUAAUGGUUCUACUCUACAAAGGAGAAGAAUACUACGUGGGCACUCUGCUCAACAAACUUCCUGGCUAAAUUCUUUCUCAUGUGCAAGACCAAUGCUCUCCGUGGGAAGAUUACAAGUUUUCAGCAACAACAUGACAAAUCUGUUCCAGAAGCAUGGGAGCGCUUCCAAGACUAUAUCCUAGAAUGUCCCCAUCAUGGAAUGGAGAGUUGGUUACUAAUGCAGACAUUUUAUCAUGGGCUCGGCAAUAGUGCCCGAGAGACCAUGGAUGCUACUGUUGACGGUCCUUAAGUAUCAAAUUUAAUUAUCAAAUAAACAAAGAAAAGGAUCCAAAUGAAAUCAACAUCUAGACUUAGGGUUUUAUUUGACAGAAUUCCACGAGUUUUGGUGUUUGUCUAUUUCUGUAGGGGGUUAUCAGGAAAUAAGGAAGAAAGGCCCACAUGUCGGGAUUACAUAGAGAUAUCAACCCACCGCGCAAUUUUCUACCAUCUAGAAGACUCCAGAAGCCACGGGAAGGAAGCGGAGCCCGAAAGGGGCCAGGCCCAGGGCGCCCGCCCUGAGGACCUGGGCGCCCGCCCCCCUCUGGACUCCAUUCCGGACUCUCUUCGCACACGACGUUCCACCGACCUAUUGGAUCCAGAAUAACAUAGUACCACCUCGCCUAUCGACCCAAAAACGCACAGAAGGGGAGGACUAUAUAAGGAGACCCCCUCUGGCCCCUAGAGGAGACAAGAAAUUAUCAUAGAGAUUGAGGGGUGCCCUCGAAGGAAAACCUCUUCUCUAAAUAAUAUUUCUUUUUAGGCUUAGCAACCAAUGUAAGGUAGAAAUAGAUCUUCUAGUUUCUACUAGAUUGAGAGAGAUAGAGUGGAGGUGUGGAUCAGAGGAAGGCCGGCCUGUCGGUGUCUACUCCGAGUUGUACCUACGGGAUCAAGUCUCCUAACCCGAGGCUUGCUUCUAAGAUUCUUCAGUAAUUUGACUUCUAAUGCUAGUAAGUUCUUGUUUUAUUGUUCUUUGGUUUAUGAGUUUACUUUAAUCCUCUUCCGGUUGAGUAUUAGAGUAAUCACUUGUUAGCGUAAACGUGGUGUUUAGGCUAGGGUACUCAUAGAUAUCCCCUGACUAGCUGGACCGUGGUAGUAGCGAGGAACGUGACAUUUCCGAGUUACCUUUGCAGAUCACAUCUCGUUAGCAGGACGGGUAGGUUUAUAGGUGCGGGUCGAACAUCCUUUGUGUUGUCUAGAUUCCGUGAGCCUCCCCAAUAGAACAGUAGAUCAUCCUUACCAAGGUUAGAACGAGACUAAGGUUGCAGUCUUCUCUAUACAUCACUCACAUCGAGACACAUUCUUUGUAGCCUAAAGGGGUAGUAGCAAUAGAUUUGGUUAGUCAGAUGCAUGUAACACCCUAAAAUUUAUUACUUUUUGAAAUAGGUGAAAAUGAUUUAAUUUUGUAUUUUUGUGCUCAUGAAAAUAUAAAAAAAAUAAUUUUUUCCAUUAAGUUAAAAUUUAUCAUAAGGCUUAGCAAUACUAUUAUGCAUACAUGCUGGUGCAUAUGUUUUGAUGUGAUGUUGGCUUGUUGCUCCUUUAUGUGUUGAGUGAGCAAAGUUUUUAAAAUGUGUUUAGUAGAUCGAUAUUCCUUGACCAGUACGUCUUUAUCUUUAUCUAUAACCAAAUUCCUUGUUUCUCGGCUCAACUUUUUAUUAGAAGCUUUCUAAAAUCUUUUCCUUGUCACCCAAAUCACUUCUUUUAGUUCCUCGUCCAUCAAGCAAUCUCUACAAACUUUUCGGAAAUUUUUCCAGUUUCUGUUCUCACUUUUCUGUGAGCAUAAUCUAAUUUUUUUAGAUGCUCCAAAUUAUCUCAUCAUGAGCUCCAAAGACUUUAUUUGGAUUCCUCAUGUUCCAUAAUGUCUCUGAGAAUUUUCCUUGAAUUUUUGGAGCAUUUGGAGUAUUUUUCAUGGCUUAAAUAAUAAUUCUGGACUUUUCUAGAAUUAUUUUAUUCACUAAAUUAGUUAAUUACGAAAAUAAUAAAAUCUUUCAUUUUAUCCCACGCUCAAGCCCAUGAUCUCAAUGGUCAAUGUCUUUAUUUACUAAUGGGCUUUAAUAAUUAAUUAGUCCUAUUAGUAAAGAUGAAGGUUGCAAAUCAAUUAGUACCAUAUCGCUAGUUGACGUGGAGGUGGGGAGUUUCUCUCCCUAUAUAUAUGUACUAAUAAUUCUUAUAAAUACUAAAAAGCUAGACACGAGAUAAGAAAAGAAAAUCUAGAGUUUUAUCUCUCUUCAUUGCGCUGCCGCCGCGGUCAAUUUUCUGCACUCGGCGAUUUGAUGGGUGAUUUCCAAUCCGCGACUCUCAUACACGUCGAGUCCAAGGUGGUGCACGGUCGUGUUCUUGUCGAGUUGAAGCCAGAUCGGCGUUAUUCAUCUAGAAAGAAAAAAAGCUGUUGCGUGUCACGCCGCUGUUCAAAGCAAAAUCGAUGGAUCCAGGUAUUAAAAUCACUGCUGUGCUGUCUGGUUCCUAAGCGAAGGAAAAGAAUCCUUCACACUGUUGUACUGUUGAUCAGAACUGCCAACAGGUGGACAUGAAUGGAGGUCUGCAAGUGUUGAGCGUGUAUCCUGUGAUUGGAGAUUUGGUCACCGAGAGGCUUCGUGUCAAGCAAAUACAAGUUGUGGUUACCCAGUUCGUCGAAACAUGUAAAUUCUUUCAUUGCACCAGUAAAGAGCGUCACCCACGCAUGCAUGUUUGAUUAAAGGUGUGCAAUACUUUAGUGAUUACAGAUAAUACUCGUGUCAUAUAUAUAUCAUUCAUGCAUAAUAAAUCACUAUUUUCUAUUAUUUCUCAAUUCAAGAAAAUCCAUCCUUUAUAUAUCAUGAAGAUAUUCUUAAUAAUUACGUAGACUGUCUAUUUAAUUUCAUGGUUUAAAUCCUAACUUGAAUAAUAAUUAUGCAAUUGGAUUAUAAAUAAAAUAUAAUUAGUUUACCUUGAUUUUUCUAAUUUAAAAUACAAAUUGACUUAACAUGAUAUCUCUCUAGAAAAUUCAUAACUUCUACGUUUUAACUCCGAUUUUUGUGAUCUUUACGUCUAUAAAAUCGUAGCGAUGCGUAGGAUCAUUUUAUAGACUUUUCAUACUAUUUUUAUAUGAUUGGUGUACUGUUCUAAUUGUAGCCUUGUUUGCUUCGUGUAUGUUUGUUGCCGUAUGUUUGUGAUCGAUGAUCGGAAUUAGUCGGUGAGCAAUUCGUGGUGAUCAAGAGUGCUUCAGUGAUCAAGAUCGGCAAGAGCAUUUGGUUUAAGGCAAGUAUAGUAUUUGGAUUUUAUUUCUGUGACCAUGAUCCUGUGACUAGAUUAAUGUUAAGUAAUAAACGAUAAAAAUGACUUUUUAGCAACUUGAUGAUUUGUCUGUACGUGAUCACCCGGGACAACAGUGCAACCAUGAGGGCUAUAAUGGCUCUGGCUUUAGCUCAGUAUGAAGACCUUUUCUAGCUUGUUAGAGGUUACCCGAAAGGGCGGAGGGGCUGAACCGUUUUGGGUAUAGUGUGGCCUCUGUCUGUAUGUGUAUAGGCUGCGAGUCAUUGUGCCAUCGGAAGGGGGGCUCUAUAUCUGCGCGCAAAGGAAACCUUGCGGCCCUAACAUGUUAGACGAACUUUUGAAAGGCUUCAUAGUGAUCCCUGCCGACCUUCCUUGGAAGUGGGUUAAGAGGCUGAUCACCUCGGGCGAAAGGGUAAAUCAUGACUCAUGGGUAAAGAUGUGCAACCUCUGCAGAGUGUUAAAACUAGUAUACUAGCCGAGCUCACGGUCAGGAGCGGCCUUGGGGACAUCUACAUUAAGGGUGAUGAUUCCUGUGUGUUAAAAUACUCAUUAUUUAUUGUUUAAUGCUCUACAUUAUUUAUGUCACAUUGAUCAUGAGAUUGUGGGAGCUAUACAAUCUAGUUGCUAUACUUGUUGAGUUCGACAUGGACUCACUCUUGCUAUUUCCCCAAACCUCAGGAGAAGUUUAGGCUUGUGAUCAACCAGUCGGUUGGAUCCUGUAGAGAGAAGUUAAUACCCGAAGUUUGGAGUUGUCUAUCCGCUGUUUGCUAUCACAGGUUAUAUCUUUUAUACUAAGUACGUUAUAUAUUUAUGCAUUGUCUUUUGACAUUACCCCUUAUUUGUAGCUAUAUGUGGGAUUUGACUUCUAAAACUCACAUAUGGUGCGUAUCUGAUUUGUCCUUAAAAUCGGGUAUUACAAUGCACCCUUUCUCCCAGUGGUAAAAAUAUAAAUACGAUAACUCUGGAAAACCUUCCGGGUGAAAUGCUCACCGAUAUCCGUGCGCUUGCGGAUCAUUUCCUUAUUGCGUUACCAAAUAUCAACAAGCAUUUCUGGCGCCGUUGCCGGGGAGAAAGACGGUUUGCUGAGAUAACUUUGAGUCUUGCUAUUAUCUUGUAUUAUACUUUUAUACUUUUAUUCUUUUAUAUUUUUAUUUUUAUCUUUAUGGAUAACUCAAAUUCCAUACUUAUUAUUAAAUUCUUUGCACCUUCGGAGACCAGACAUAGACCAUGGGAGUCAACACGUCCUACCCCUAAUUAUGAUCUGUGUCCGGAGUUGAUUGCAAUAGGUCAAAACCAACCCUUUUCUAUAGCCGAGGUCCUAUCUUUUAAUCAAAAAGAUAAUGCACUUUUAGCUUCACCUAGGGAAUCUUUUAAACUUUCUAUAAAUUCUGGUUUAGACCUAGACCUACAAGACCAUGUUUUUUUCUAGAUAUUUUCACAUUGGUCUUAAUCAUAUAACAUUUGGUAGAGUCCUUCUUUCUUUAUCUAUUAGUAAAGGAAGGUAUGUCUUCAUUUGUGGACAUCCUUCUUGUACUAGUCUUCAUAGAAAAAUCUUAGAGAUAGAGAAGGAAUCAUCUCCCAGACGAGGAAAGGAAGUUUUAAUAGCCAAUUUCCAAACAUUUCAAUCCCAUAAUUCGGCUAUCCAUCCCAUCCUUGAGCUUAAUAGUUUCUACUAUGCUCUUCCUCUUGAACCUCCCGAUAAUCCUAUGAAUCUUUCUAGACAUCCCAUGCAUAAGAAGGAGGAUCGAGAAGAGGAACAUCAAUGGCUAGAGGGCAUUAAAAAUCCAUGUGCUAUCACCAUUGAAUGGAUAGAUAAAACAAACUUGAGAGACAAUCCUAGAGGAAUUUUAAUCAUUCAUGAAGAAUCAUCCUUGGAGAUUGAGAAUGAGAGAAACAACAGUGAGCAUGGAAGUUAUUUCAUAAAUACCUCACUCAGUCCUUGCUCAUAUAAAACAUCUCUCCAAUCAAUUAGUCUCUCCAACAUUACCACAUUUGAGAUCUCCAACCCUCUCUUCUUUUCUAUUUAUAAAAACUUUAAAAGGGCGGUUGUCGAUACAUAUGUCUAUAAUAAAUAUUGCAGAUCUCGUUGAGUUAAUUGAUGGUUCCCCAAGGACAAGCUUAGUGUCCUAAAACAAGCACUUCUAAUUAUUUGCAACAUUGCCUUGUGUAUUGAGCAUAUAAAGAUAAUUGUAGAAAUAUUCCUUCGGGUAUUCUUGCCACUAACCUUUCUAGGAUUGGAGCAAGAAGAUCGGAUGAAUGACAAGCGCAAGGUAUGCCCAACCAAUCAUCAUGCAACAUUAAGUUAAAUUCAUCCAAUCUUGAAUUUUGCAAAAUUCAAGCUUGGGGGAGUACUUUACAUAAAACAUCCUUUGCCAUGUUGCUAUGUUGGUUGUCCUUACCUUUGAGACAUGCUCAAUUUGUUAAAUACUAAUCACACUACUUCAUCUCCACUUGAGUAGAUCUCUAUAAAAGCCAUCAUGCUACCUUUGUUUAUCCUAGUAAGUAUUAGUUUGGAAGUACUGGUCACACUUCCAAUGGCAUUUAAAUUAAGCGUGGUGCUUAGGUUAAAUAGCCUUCCUUAAUCUGAUUAGACAUGGAGUCUAGUGUGGUUACUGAACAAAAAACUGCUUGAGUAGAUAUUGGUAUAUUUUGUUGGACUAACCCCUGUAGGAAAACUUUCAAUAACAACCUGGGAAGUCCUGAGAUGCAAACUCAUUAGAGAUGAAGAAAGUGACACAUGAAGUUUAACAAUUUGCACAAGAAAGACGUAGCUCAUAAGAGAUGAUUCAUGGAGGGUGCCACAAACACGAUGCACAACCACUAAGAAAGGAAAGCUUCCACAAGGUGAUACUGUACCAUCACUCUUCAAGUAAGGUAACAUCUUAAGGUACUUGACUAACACUUUUAUAAGCUCCUCCUUGGUUCUGGCAUUCACAUAAAUAAAGAGACAAACAUGUAUGAUUUAUAACUCCAAAUAACCAACUCAAUUAAUUCAACAUGUUUAGUCCUUUAAUCUUUGUUCUUAGUACUACCUUCGUGACCCCACACUCCUAAUCAUAUAAGCUAAAGUAUGGCACAUGCAAUCUUUGGAAGAUAUAAACAAAACAUAAAUAUAGAUAGAUUAUCUUUCCAUUAGGUUGAGCCAUCUGAUCUGACAAAUGCUACACUCAUGAUCCAUCAACUUUGUCUUGCUCACUAUGCUUAAGGUUAGAGAAGAACAAAUACACUUUUGGUUCUGUUGGUGUUUUCCACCAACAGGGCCCAUGCACUUGAUCUCUACCUUGUCUCUAUGAGCAGGAACACUUCGAGCAUAAUAUGAAGGAGUUUUACAACUCCCAGAUUCCACCAAGUGAAGAACUAGGAUCUACAAGCACAAAUACACUGGAGAUACUGGACGCUCAGGCAAUCACUGCCCUGAGAUGCUUGAGGACGUGAACUACAUCAACAACAAUAACAACUAUUACUACAACCGUCCUCAACAACAUCAAGGUUGGAAUCAACAGAGGCCUAAUUAAUCAGAGAGGUGAUCUAGGACGCCCCGUCAUCCCGAUCUCCAUCGGCAUGGUGGACUUCCCAGAAGCACUCUGCGACUUUGGCUCCAGCGUCAACAUUAUGCCCAGGGUUGCAGAUCGGACACUCAGUUUCCCAAAGGAAAUAUUGAAGAACCUCUGCGUCCGAGUUGGUACCUUGUAUGCUCUAGCAGACUUCAUGGUGAUAGAGACUGGUACUGAGGAGAGGGCACCCAUCAUAUUAGGGAGGCCAUUCCUAAACACUAGAGCUGUCAUCUACGCUAAUGCUGCCAAGAUCAGUCUCUACAUCAAGGGGAAGAAGGAGACUUUCCUUCAAGAACAAGACUACACAAACUUCAGAGCAACCCCGACAUCAACCAAGGAAGAGGACCAACAGGAGGAACAGGAACAAGCAAAUGUGGACCGAGUCAGCUAAGAUGGUCACUGCAGUUCAAGGAGGUCAAGAUCGUCGACUCAAGUCACCUUUUUUGAUCAAGAAGGACGACCCUGGUGUUCUAAGCAUUGAGUGCACAAUCAACAGAUACUCUUUUCAGAAGACACUAUACGACACCGGAUCUGACGUCAACAUAAUGGCCGUAGUCACUUAUCAGCUCCUGCAUGAAACCAUGCCCCUACAACCAAUAUACAUUCAGCUAUAGAUGACUUUCAAGUUAUUGACAUGGGAGAAGAUGAAUAUGAUCCACCCACCAUCCUUGGAAGACAGUUCCUCAGCACUAUCAAAGCCAUCAUCUAUAUUGGAACCGGAGAAGUCCACAUACACUUCUCCUGUGAGAAGGUAUGCCGCUGUUUUACUGACCCUAACUAUAUAGUUGAAGACUCUAAGCAGGUCAGGACAAGAAGAAGUCAACGCAACCGCAACCAGAGGAGGCAAAUCAUCAAGGACGGAUGGGUAGACUACGAAGGAGAAGUGAUAAGGACUGAAGACAUACCACUUGAACAUAACUGUCCUGAGGAGACCAAAGCACCGAGUCAAGUGUGGAGAGAGAAUAUAGUUACAUACGAAGAGGAGGCGCCACCGGAAUCACCGACUACGUCAUCCAGCGAAUCCCACGACGAUUAAGAAAAUGGAGAGUCCCGCUCGGAGGACUUAAAAACACCGAACGCCUUGCCAAGAGGUAAACUUGGUAGUUAUCCUUUCCCUUUUAAUUAUUUCAAAUAGUUUACUUAGUUAAUCAUGUUCGUACUAUCCUAGAAAGAAAAUAAAAAUGUGAAAAAAAAACUGUAAGCCCCAUGUGAGUAGACGAGUGGCAUAAUACCCAUAAGUACAUUCACUGUGGUGGCAUAAAAAUAAAAUAAAUAUUUUUCUGCUUUAUAAAAAUAAAAAUAUAAAAACAGGGAGUAAUAUUUAUUAAGGAGUCUCAACAUGAUAAAGGCUAGAUAUUUAUGCUAAACCAGUUCCACAAGCUUUGUUGUCUAUUUGAGCUCCACAGAAUUUAAGAAUCAAGAAGACUAGUGUUGGGUAUUUUAAACACAAACAGAAAAAUCCGCAAGCGCACGGAUACCGAUGUAGCUUUCACCCGGGAGUAUUCCAGAGUAUCGAUUUUCCACAGAGAACGUGAGUGUACUAAUUAAGAUCCAAGAUCGCCCAAGGAUAACUAUAUAAUUAUUUUUAGUGGGAAGAGAGGAAGUUUCCUGAGAGUUCUCUAGUUGAUCUAAGAAUCAAGAAUUACUUCAAGAUUAUCUAUAUCGGGACAUCAGAGCACUAACCACAGAAAGAGAUGAGAAGGGGGCUAGGAAGGUCUGACUACGGUCCUACAAACACCGAUCCGAACGUGGUGGAAUACGUCGACCGUUAGGGCUGUCACUACCCUAAGGCUACCACAACAAUCCACAGGAUUGGGUGCAAUUCCAGGUAAUCGCAAGACUAAACACCACGUCUAAUCUAUUAAUUACUACUCUAGCGUUAUAAAGACUAGAGCACUUGAUGCAAGCGAGAAUCCAAUAAAUAACUUGAAUGUAAAUAAAAGUAAUUAAAGAACUCAGGAAUUAUGAGUUGAAGAACCUGGAGAACGAUGAAGAACGAACCAGUUGCUGCAAAAGUACAAUGUUGAGGAAGAUCCGAUAGAUCCGGCUCCUCCUUCUCCGCUCUCCUCUUCUCUCUCCCUAUUUUCUAGAUUACAACUAGAACUAACUAGAACUAGAACUAGAGGAACUAGAACUAGAACUAGAUGAACUAGAACUAGAACUAGAUGAACUAGAGGUAGAACUAGAACUAGAGGGAUCCUCUCUACUUGGAUGAAGAAUUGAAACCCUAACUUUGAUUCUGUAGAAGAGGUAUGCCUACAGGGGCUGGUGGGGUCUGCUUAUAUAGUCCAGGAAGAGUAGCCCCCAAGAAAUCUAGGAAGAGUAGCCCCCAAGAAAUCUAGGAAGAGUAGCUCCCAAGGAAUUUCCACGUUAUUCUCCACCAUCCGAUCAAACCGACCUUCAUCGUGUGAUUUUCCUCGAUCCUUAGAGUCGGUGGAGCAUAAUCCCCGAGACUCGUGCUGAUUGGCCAGCAGAGGAGGGCGGGCGCCCAGGGGGGUAGGGCGGGCGCCCUGCCUCCGGGCCCGCUCGGCCUCCCGUUCGUUCCCGUGGCUUCUGGAGUCUUCUAGAUGAUAGAAAAUUGCGCGGCACGUUAAUAUCUCUAUGUAAUCCCGACGUGUGGGCCUUUCUUCCGUAUUUCCUGAUAACCCCCUGCAGAAAUAGACAAACACCAAAACUCGUGGAAUUCUGUCAGAUAAAACCCUAAGUCUGGGUGUUGGUUGCAUUUGGAUCCUUUUCCAUGAUUAAUUGAUGGUUAAAUGUGAGCAUUAAGGACCGUCAACAAGCUCCCCCAAGCUUAACCUUUGCUCGUCCCUUGAGCAAAGCUAAAAUCAUCAAGAAAACAGGGGUUACUUUUAUGCCUUUUACUAAAGGGGUUUUAAGUUAUCACUAAGGUCUUAAGUGAUUGAAAAACAGAAUGAUCAAGUCAAGCACUAUGUCUCAAGUUCUUCUGUCUUACCUUUGUUCUGGAGUUGUUUGUAAGUUUCCAAAAUAAAUCUGAGGCAUUUGCCUUCUUCUCGAAAGAUAUAUAAGUAGAGCUUUAAAAAUUUUAGCAUACUUACUUUGCAUUUUGCUAUGUCAAUGCUCGAAGCAAGGGAGAGGAAUGUCAUACUCCUAGAUCAAGACCUUUGACCUUUUUGAAGAGUUUGUCAUCUCUUACUGGCAUAUUGCUUAUUAGAGGGACCAUGGGCUAUCAUUUUUUUUCCUUCUUUUUUUCUCUUUUUUUUAGUCUCUUUUUUUCAAGUGGGCAGCAAGUACCUCUAAUUCUACUGUCGGACACAUGUCCAUUUUUUUCCACUCAGGUGGGUAUCUUUGUACCCCUAAUUCUACUUCGGACACUUGUCCAUUUUUACCUCUCAUCUCACUCUUUUUUUUCGAAUCAAAUUUUUGCAUAGUCCCAUGCCUCUAACGCAAUAAUACUUCGGAAGAGUGAAUCUUUUAUAUUUUUAAAACAAAAAGAUCUUGACCUUGGGAGCAUGAUAAUUCUCUCAACCAAAACUACAAGAAUUAACAAUGGCUUGAACAAAGAAAAUACCCACAGUUUUAAUAUUUAUUUCUUAUAAGACUCUAGGUAUUAUGACCUCAUAUAUUUUUUUUAUGAAUUUUUAGAUUUUCAAAAGAUAAAAUCUCCAGAACUCUAGCAAAACUUGGAACAAGUUAAAUAGUAGCUCAGACCAUCUCAUAUCAUGUUUGUCAAUUACCUAGACUUGAAUCAAACUUUCUUUUUAUUUUAUUUAAAACUUAGUAUUACAUAAAACUAUUAUAUAUUACUCAAAACAAAAACUGUGUUUGGUUUCAUGGUUAUGCAUUUUUUUAUUAUUUGAGUAAAGUAUAAACGUGAGUAGAACACUUAGCUGGAUAAAUAGGGGUGCUCUCCCCCAAGCUGGAUUUUGACAUAAUUUCUUCUGAUGUAGCUAGCAGGUGGCGGAGGUGUAUUUGAAUGUCGGCAGCACUCUGACAGCGAUUAGGAUGUCCUUCGUCUGCUAGUCUUCUUUGAUCCUUGAAUUCUGUGGAGCUCAAAUAGACAACAAAGCUUUGUGGAACUAGUUAAGUGUUAGCAUAAAUAUCUAACCUUUAUCAUGUUGAGCCUCCUCAAUAAAUGUUACUCAUUAGUAGGAUCAUAAUUUUAUUUUUAUAAUUUUAUUUUUAUAGGACAGGAAUAUAUUUAUUUUAUUUUUAUGCCACCACAGUGAAUGUACUUAUGGGUUUUAUGCCAUGAGCAUACUCACAUGGGGCUUACUAUUUUUAACAUUUUUAUUUUCUUUUUAAGAUGAUAUGAACCUGAUUAACUAAGCAAACUAUUUUAAAUAAUUGAAAGGGAAAAAGGAUAACUACCAAGUUUAACUCUUACCAAGGCGUUCGGUGUUUUUAAGUCCUCCGAAUAGGACUCUCUAUUUUCUCAGUUGUCCUGGGAUUCGCUGGAUGGCGUAGUUAGUGGUUCCGGCAGCGCCUGGUCUUCAUGUAUAACUAUCUUCUCUCUCCACACCUGACACGGUGCUACGGUCUCCUCAGGACAGUUCUGUUCAAGUUGUAUGUCUUCAGACCUUACCACUUCUCCUUCAUAAUCCGCCCAUUCGUCCUUGAUAAUUUGCCUACUCUGGUUGCGGUUGCGUCGUCUUCUUCUUGUCCUGACCUGCUUAGAGUCUUUCAACUAUGUAGUUAAGGUUAGUAAAAUAGUGGCGUACCUUUUCAGAGGGGAAGUGCAUGUGGACUCCGCCGGUUCCAAUGUAGAUGAUUGCUUUAACGGUGUUGAGGAACGGUCUUCCAAGGAUGAUGGGUGGAUCGUACUCGUCUUCUCCUAUGUCAAUAACUUCAACCUUCCGAAAUGUUUGAUCUGCCAUCUGGAGCUGGGUGUAUGUUGGUUAUAGGGGCAUGGUUCCAUGCAGGAGCUAAUAAGUGACUGCGGCCAUUAUGUUGGCGUCAGAUCCGGUGUCGUAGAGUGUCUUCUCAAAAGAAUAUCCGUUGAUUGUGCACUUGAUGCUUGGAACACCAGGGUCGUCCUUCUUGAUCAAGAAAGGUGACUUGAGUUGACGAUCUUGACCUUCUUGAGCUGCAGUGACCAUCUUAGCUGACUCAGUCCACAUUUGCUUGUUUCUGUUCCUCCUGUUGGUCCUCUUCCUUGGUUCAUGUCGGGAAUGCUCUGAGAUUUGUGCGGUCUUGUUCUUGAAGGAAAACGUCUCCUUCCUCCCCUUGAUGUAGAAACUGAUCUUGGCAGCACUAGCGUAGAUGAUAGCUCCCGAGGUGUUCAGGAAUGGCCUCCCAAGGAUGAUGGGUGCCCUCUCAACAGUACCAGUCUCUAUCCUCACGAAGUCUGCUAGGGCGCACAAGGUACCAACUCGGACGUAGAGGUUCUUCAAUAUUCCCUUUGGGAAACUUAGUGUCUGAUCUGCAGGCUGCAAGCACACGGUUGUUUCUAGUAAAGGAUGUGUAAAGAAUUUUUUUCAUAGAGUACCUUGGGCAUAAUGUUGACGCUGGAGCCAAAGUCACAGAGUGCUUCUAGGAAGUCCACCAUGUCGAUGGAGAUCGGGAUGACGGGGCGUCCUGGGUUGUCUCUCUUGACCGGCAGAAGGUCAGUAAUUACUUCCACUACGGGGUUACUCCAGUAGUUACGUCCUCAAGCAUCUCAGGGCAGUGAUUGCUUGAGUGUCUAGUAUCUCCAGUGUGUUUGUGGUCCUAGAUCUAGGUUCUUCACUUAGUAGAGUCUAGGAGUUGUAAAACUCCUUCAUAUUUUGCUCGAAGUGUACCUGCUCAUAGAGACAAGGCAGAGAUCAAGUGCAUGGGCCCUGUUGGUGGAAAACACCAACAAAACUAAAAGUGUAUUUGUUCUCUCUAACCUUAAGCAUAGUGAGCAAGACAAAGUUGAUGGAUAAUAAGAUCAUGAGUGUAGCAUUUAAAACAUUUGUCAGAUCAGAUCGCUCAACCUAAUGGAAAGAUAAUCUAUCUAUAUUUAUGUUGUUUUUUAUAUAUCUUCCAAAGAUUGUGUGUGCAACAUUUUAGCUCAUAUGAUUAGGAUUGUGGGAUCACAAAGGUGGAAGGACUAAACAUGUUGAACCGAUUGGGUUGGUUAAUCUAGAGUUGUAAAUCAUACAUGUUUGUCUCUUUUAUUCAUGUGAACGCUAGAACCAAGAAGAAGCUUAUAAAAGUGAUAGUCAAGUACCUUAAGAUGUUACCUUAAUUGAAGAAUGAUGGUACCAUCUCACCUUGUAGAAGCUUUCCUUUCUUAGAGGUUGUGCAUCGUGAUUGUGGCACCCUCCAUGGAUCAUCUCUUGUGAGCUAUGCCUUCCUUGUGUAAAUUGUUAAUCUAAAUGUGUCUCUCUCUUUGUCUCCAAUGUGAGUUUAUCUCGGGACUUCCCAGGUCGAUAGUGAAAGUUUUCCUUGUGCUUGUCAUUCAUCCGAUCUUCUUGCUCCAAUCCUAGAAAGGUUAGUGACAAUAAUAACCGAAGGAAUGUUUUUACAAUUAUCCUUAUAUGCUCAACACACAAGGUAAUGUUGCAAAUAAUUAAAAGCUCAUGUUACGAUCUGAUCAGUGCUUGUUUUAGGACACUAAGCUUGUCCUUGGGAAACCAUCAAUUUAUGUCGGCGAAGUGGUUUCCCCUCCAACGCUGACCUAUAUCAAGAUCAACUCAACGACAUCUGCAAUAUUUGAUAUAGACAUAUGCAUCGACAACCGCCCUUUUAAAGUUUUUAUAAAUAGAAAGGAUGAGGGGGUUGGAGAUCUCGAAUGUGGUGAUGUUGGAAAAACCAAUGGAUUGCGAAGAUGUUGCAUAUGAGCAUGGAGUAAAUGAAGUGGCUAUGAAAUAAAUUCCAUGCUCAUUAAUGCUUAGAGUGAAAUCCAUGUGGUAUGGUGAAAAUGAUAAGGUGAGUGUGGUAAAAAAGGAAAAGAAAAAGGAUACACGGACGACUUGGUUCGAAACUAGCACAGCUACCGUUCCCCGGCAACGGCGCCAGAAAGCUUGUUGGGUAUUUUAAACGCAAACAGAAAAAUCCGCAAGCGCACGGAUACCGAUGUAGCUUUCAUCCGGGAGUAUUCCAGAGUAUUGAUUUCCACAGAGAACGUGAGUGUACUAAUUAAGACCCAAGAUCGCCCAAGGAUAACUAUAUAAUUAUUUUUGGUGGGAAGAGAGGAAGUUUCCUGAGAGUUCUCUAGUUGAUCUAAGAAUCAAGAAUUACUUCAAGAUUAUCUAUAUCGGGACAUCAGAGCACUAACCAUAGAAAGAGAUGAGAAGGGGGCUAGGAAGGUCUGACUACGGUCCUACAAACACCGAUCCGAACGUGGUGGAAUACGUCGACCGUUAGGGCUGUCACUACCCUAAGGCUACCACAACAAUCCGCAGGAUUGGGUGCAAUUCCAGGUAAUCGCAAGACUAAACACCACGUCUAAUGUAUUAAUUACUACUCUAGCGUUAUAAAGACUAGAGCACUUGAUGCAAGCGAGAAUCCAAUAAAUAACUUGAAUGUAAAUAAAAGUAAUUAAAGAACUCAGGAAUUAUGAGUUGAAGAACCUGGAGAACGAUGAAGAACGAACCAGUUGCUGCAAAAGUACAAUGUUGAGGAAGAUCCGACAGAUCUGGCUCCUCCUUCUCCGCUCUCCUCUUCUCUCUCCCUAUUUUCUUGAUUACAACUAGAACUAACUAGAACUAGAACUAGAGGAACUAGAACUAGAACUAGAUGAACUAGAACUAGAACUAGAUGAACUAGAGGUAGAACUUGAAGAACUAGAGGGAUCCUCUCUACUUGUAUGAAGAAUUGAAACCCUAACUUUGAUUCCGUAGAAGAGGUAUGCCUCCAGGGGCUGGUGGGGGUCUGCUUAUAUAGUCCAGGAAGAGUAGCCCCCAAGAAAUCUAGGAAGAGUAGCCCCCAAGAAAUCUAGGAAGAGUAGCUCCCAAGGAAUUUCCACGUUAUUCUCCACCAUCCGAUCAAACCGACCUUCAUCGUGUGAUUUUCCUCGAUCCUUAGAGUCGGUGGAGCAUAAUCCCCGAGACUCGUGCUGAUUGGCCAGCAGAGGAGGGCGGGCGCCCAGGGGGGUAGGGCGGGCGCCCUGCCUCCGGGCCCGCUCGGCCUCCCGUUCGUUCCCGUGGCUUCUGGAGUCUUCUAGAUGAUAGAAAAUUGCGCGGCACGUUAAUAUCUCUAUGUAAUCCCGACGUGUGGGCCUUUCUUCCGUAUUUCCUGAUAAAUCCCUGCAGAAAUAGACAAACACCAAAACUCGUGGAAUUCUGUCAGAUAAAACCCUAAGUCUGGGUGUUGGUUGCAUUUGGAUCCUUUUCCAUGAUUAAUUGAUGGUUAAAUGUGAGCAUUAAGGACCGUCAACAACUAGCAGACGGAGGACAUUCUAAUCGCUGUCAAAAUACUGCUGACUUUCAAGCACACCUCUACCACCUGCUAGCUACAUCAAGAGAAAUUACGUCAAAAUUCAGCUUGGGGGAGAGCACCCCCAUUUAUCUCGAUAUGUAUUUCUAUCUAUCUUUAUGCUUAUACUAUAUUAGAAUAUAAAUACACAUAACUAUGAAAAACCAAAUAAAGAUUUUAUGCUUAUAUAAUUUUGCUUAGUGUGUUUAAUAAAUAAAUAAAGUUGCUAUGCUAAUCUGUAUCUAAUAAAACUUAAGCAUGGAUAUGAUGAAUAGUUGCUCUGCCUAAUUUGCAAAUUUGAAGUUCUCUCUCAAGUUUAGAUAUAACUGUUAUAAUUUAAGGCUUGCUCUAGACCUAAACUUGUGGGAUGAAAACUUGAUCUGAAGUCUAAGUUGUUAACGGAUACGAUAUGGGAAGGUUGAGCUGCUGUUCAUCUGUUCCUAGAGAUGCUAGAAUUCUGGAGAAUUUUAUCUUUGAAAAAUCUUUAAAAUAACACAUGAUGAGUUCCUGUAUGAUGAGAGUUUAAAUUCCUACCAUAGCCAUAUAUACAUGCUUAUUAGACUUUGAGCCACACAUUUACUUUUUACUGCUUAUGAGCAUUGAGUGUGGUCAAGCUGUGUAGACCCUUAGGAGCUUGUCAUGUGGUUAAAUCAAGAUUCACUUACACAUUCACUCAUACAUGCUACUUCUACUCCGGAAGUACCAUCCACAUAUAUCCACUCAUUUCCAUCUCCAAAACCACCCAAACGUAUUCUACUCCUAAUCCAGGAGAGAAUAACCAAAAAUAUUUCUGUUUCCCCUUGUGAAAUAAAUGCUCAAGUUAUCUUGUUACUACCACUUGCUAUAUUAUCUCAAGAGAUGAAUGCUCUGAAAAAAAAAGAGAAAAAGAAAAUAAAAGAUACGAGGAAAUAAAAAGGAGCAAGUGCUCGGAACCUCGAAAGAAAAGAAAAAGAAGAGCAUCUCAUUCUCCUCAUAAAGUUUCAAAAGCAAGGAAGGUAUGUAUUCCCUCAAAGAGCAAAGUAGAAUUAGACUUCCACCACCAUUGUUAUCACCAUUAUCACCAUACACCAUUCAUUCGCCACACAUUCACAUCUUGAUUUGGCUUAUUGAUUUGUUUCUUUGGAUCCAUGGUUUGACUAUGCAAUAAAUGUCUUGUAAGUAUGUAUACUUUAUCUCCCACCUAUGAGCUUCAGAUAUUAAAGCCUUAUUAGAGUAGGGUGAGAGAGAAGACAAUGACACUAUGCUUCAUACCACAAAUACUACAUAUCUUGAGAGAAGGCAUAUACCAUCACUGCCUUGGUAAGGAUCCAAAAAAAAUACCACAAAAGAGAGACCUGAGAGAAUCAUACAAGGAAUUUCUGAGUUUUAUUUGAAAAUCUGCAAAAAUCCCAGAGCUAUAGCUGAUCAAGAAUAAGAGACAUGGCACUUGGCUAGACUGUUCUAUCUUUUAACCACUCAAGACAGAAGUGACGGUUACAAGUCCUAUGGUGUAGGUAAAGUAAGUAAGUUUUAAGUCUUAACAGUUUAUUCUAACUCAGAGAUGAGAUCUUGCUUAAAUGCGUGUGUACUUCUAAGAAAUGAAACCACUGCAGAAACUCUUGAGUUCAUCCUUGCUCAGGGACGAGCAAGAGUUAAGCUUGGGGGAGUUUGUUGACGGUCCUUAAGUAUCAAAUUUAAUUAUCAAAUAAACAAAGAAAAGGAUCCAAAUGAAAUCAACAUCUAGACUUAGGGUUUUAUCUGACAGAAUUCCACGAGUUUUGGUGUUUGUCUAUUUCUGCAGGGGGUUAUCAGGAAAUAAGGAAGAAAGGCCCACAUGUCGGGAUUACAUAGAGAUAUCGACCCACCUCGCAAUUUUCUACCAUCUAGAAGACUCCAGAAGCCACGGGAAGGAAGCGGAGCUCGAAAGGGGCCAGGCCCAGGGCGCCCGCCCUGAGGACCUGGGCGCCCGCCCCCCUCUGGACUCCGUUCCGGACUCUCUUCGCACACGACGUUCCACCGACCUAUUGGAUCCAGAAUAACAUAGUACCACCUCGCCUAUCGACCCAAAAACGCAUAGAAGGGGAGGACUAUAUAAGGAGACCCCCUCUGGCCCCUAGAGGAGACAAGAAAUUAUCAUAGAGAUUGAGGGGUGCCCUCGAAGGAAAACCUCUUCUCUAAAUAAUAUUUCUUUUUAGGCUUAGCAACCAAUGUAAGGUAGAAAUAGAUCUUCUAGUUUCUACUAGAUUGAGAGAGAUAGAGUGGAGGUGUGGAUCGGAGGAAGGCCGGCCUGUCGGUGUCUACUCCGAGUUGUACCUACGGGAUCAAUUCUCCUAACUCGAGUCUUGCUUCUAAGAUUCUUCAGUAAUUCGACUUCUAAUGCUAGUAAGUUCUUGUUUUAUUAUUCUUUGGUUUAUGAGUUUACUUUAAUCCUCUUCCGGUUGAGUAUUAGAGUAAUCACUUGUUAGCGUAAACGUGGUGUUUAGGCUAGGGUACUCAUAGAUAUCCCCUGACUAGCUGGACCGUGGUAGUAGCGAGGAACGUGACAUUUCCGAGUUACCUUUGCAGAUCACAUCUCGUUAGCAGGACGGGUAGGUUUAUAGGUGCGGGUCGAACAUCCUUUGUGUUGUCUAGAUUCCGUGAGCCUCCCCAAUAGAACAGUAGAUCAUCCUUACCAAGGUUAGAACGAGACUAAGGUUGCAGUCUUCUCUAUACAUCACUCACAUCGAGACACAUUCUUUGUAGCCUAAAGGGGUAGUAGCAAUAGAUUUGGUUAGUCAGAUGCACCCUUUCUCCCAGUGGUAAAAAUAUAAAUACGAUAACUCUGGAAAACCUCCCGGGUGAAAUGCUCACCGAUAUCCGUGCGCUUGCGGAUCAUUUCCUUAUUGUGUUACCAAAUAUCAACAGCUACAGCUGGAUGAGCAUUCUUAUCACUUACCAUAUCACAAGCCACAGCUCUUGUGGAGAAGAUGGCGUCCAAUCAAGGCUAGAAUGAAGAGAGAACCCAGACACUCAAGAGAGGUGGAGGUAUGCAUCAGCUCAAGGAGGUAGACAUGUUGUCUUCAAAGGUAGACCUGCUCAUGAAGAAGCUCGACGAUAGAGCUAGAGAUAAGAAGGAAGUUAUGCACAUCUACGACUCCCACAUGACUUGUGAGGAGUGUGGAGAUACUGGACACUCAGGCAAUCACUGUCCUGAGAUGCUUGAGGAUGUGAACUACAUCAUCAACAACAACUACUACUACUACAACCGUCCUCAACAAAAUCAAGGUUGGAAGCAACAGGGGCCUAACUACUCAGGUAAUUAUCAAGGUAACAAUUCUUACAACAAUAAUAAUAAUUUUCCACCUUUGAGAGAGUUAGUGUCUAAUAAUGGAAAGCUAAUGGAUAACCUAUCUAAGAAAUUGGCAUCUAAUGAUAAAAUGCUAGAAAAUAUAAAUAAUAGAAUGGAUAAUUCCUCUACUACCAUCAAGAAUCAAAUUCGCUUUAAUAAAAUGAUUGAAUCUCAGUUAAAUCAAAUAGCUGCUGCUGUUCCUGCUACUAACCCCGGUAUACCAUCACAACCGGAAGGAUUAGAAUCUGCAAAUCUUGUAGACAUGUUUGAUGCAGGUAAUAACUGGAGUAACCCCGUCACUGAAUUCACUACUGACCUUCUGCCGGUCAAGAAAGGCGAUCCCGGACGCCCCGUCAUCCUGAUUUCCAUCAGCAUGGUGGACGUCCCACAAGCACUCUGCGACUUUGGCUCCAGUGUCAACAUUAUACCCAGGGUACUCUAUGAAAAAUUCUUUACAUAUCCUUUAUUAGAAACAAACAUGUGUUUGCAGUUUGCAGAUCAGGCGAUAAGUUUUCCAAAAGGAAUAUUGAAGAACCUUUGUGUCCGAGUUGGUACCUUGUACGCCCCAGCAGACUUCGUAGUGGUAGAGACCGGUAAUGAUGAGAGGGCACCCAUCAUCUUAGGGAGGCCAUUCUUAAACACCACGGGAGCUAUCAUCUAUGCCAGUGCUGCCAAGAUCAGUUUCUACAUCAAAGGGAGGAAGGAGACGUUUUUCUUCAAGAACAAGACUACACAAAUCCCAGAUCAAUCCAGACGUGAAUCAAGGAAGAGGACCAACAGGAGGAACAAGAACAAGCAAGUGUGGACCGAGUGAGCUAAGAUGGUCACUGCAGUCCAUUGAGGCCAAGAUCACCAACUUAAGUCACCGUUUUUGACCAAGAAGGACGACCUAGGAAUGCCAAGUAUCUAUUGCUCCAUAAAUGGAUACAACUUCUACAAGACGUUUUGCGACACCGGAUCGGGUGUCAACAUAAUGGCUGCAGUCACCUAUCGGCUCUUGUUCGGAACCAUGCCCUUAAAACCAACAUACAUUCAGCUCCAGAUGGUAGAUCAGGUAUUUCGAGAAGUUAAAAGAACAGUAACUGAUGUCCCAGUCAAAAUAGACGAUCAUUUUGUCUACACAGACUUUCAGGUUAUUGACAUGGGAGAACAUGAGUACGAUCCACCCAUCAUCCUUGGAAGACCGUUCCUCAGCACCGUUAAAGCAAUCAUCUACAUUGGAACUGGAGAAGUCCAUAUGCACUUCCCCUCAGAGAAGGUACACCGUUAUUUUAUUGACCCUAACUAUAUUGUUGAAGAAUCUAAGCAGGUAAGAAAACGACGCAACCGCAACCAGAGGAGGCAAAUCAUCAAGGACGGAUGGGCAGACUAUGAAGGAGAAGUUGUAAGGUCAGAAGACAUAGAGUUUAAACAGAAUUAUCCAGAGGAGACCGUAGCACCGAGUCAGGUAUGGAAAGAGAAGAUAAUACAUGAAGAGGAGGCGCUGCCGGAAGUACCGACUCCGCCACCCAACGAAUCCCAGGACAAUUGAGAAAACGGAGAGUCCCAUUCGGAGGACUUAAAAACCCUGAACGCCUUGCCAAGAGGUAAACUUGGUAGUUAUCCUUUCCCUUUCAAUUAUUUAAAAUAGUUUGCUUAGUUAAUCAUGUUCGUAUUAUCUUAAAGAGAAAAUAAAAAUAUGAAAAACAGUAAGCCCCAUGUGAGUAUACGAGUGACAUGAAACCCAUAAGUACAUUCACUGUGGUGGCAUAAAAAUAAAUAUUUCUAUUCUGCUUUAUAAAAUGAAAAUAUAAAAAUAAGGAGUAAUAAUUAUUAAAGAGUCUCAACAUGAUGAAGGCUAGAUAUUUAUGCUAAUACUUAAUCUGUUCCACAAAGCUUUGUUGUGUAUUUGAGCUCCACAGAAUUUAAGAAUCAAGAAGACUAGCAGACGGAGGACAUUCUAAUCGUUGUCAAGAUACUGCCGACUUUCAAAUACACCUCUGCCACCUGCUAGCUACAUCAAAAGAAAUUACGUCAAAAUUCAGCUUGGAGGAGAGCACCCCCAUUUAUCCCGCUAAGUAUUUCUAUCUAUCUAUCUUUAUACUUAUACUAUUUUAGAAUAUAAAUAUACAUAAACCAAGAAAAACCAAAUAAAGAUUUUGUGCUUAUAUAUAUAUCUUUUGCUUAGUGUGUUUCAUAAACAAAUAAAGUGGCUAUGCUCAUCUGUAUAUUAAUAAUAAAACUCUAGCAUGGAUAUGAUGAAUAGUUGCUCUGCCUAAUUUGCAAAUUUGAAGUUCUCUCUCAAGUUCAGAUAUAACUGUUAUAAUUUAAUGCUUGCUCUAGACAUAAACUUGUGGGAUGAAAACUUGAUCUGAAGUCUAAGUUGUUAACGGAUACGAUAUGGGAAGGUUGAGCUGCUGUUUAUCUGUUCCUAGAGAUGCUAGAAUUCUGGAGAAUUUUAUCUUUGAAAAUCUUUAAAAUGUUGCAUGAUGAGUUCCUAUAAGAUGAGAGUUUAAAUUCCUACCACAGCCAUAUAUACAUGCUUGCUAGACUUUGAGCCACACAUUUACUAUUUACUGCUUAUGAGCAUUGAGUGUGGUCAAGCUGUGUAGACCCUUGCACGUUCACUCAUAUAUGCUGCUUCUACUCCGGAAGUACCAUCCACAUAUAUCCACUAAUUUCCAUCUCUAGAACCACCCAAAAAAACUAUUCUACUCCUAAUCCGGGAGAGAAUAGCCAAAAAUAUUUCUAUUUUUCCCUUGUAAAAUGAAUGCUCAAGUUAUCUUGUUACUACCACUUGCUAUAUUAUCUCAAGAGAUGAGUGCUCUUAAAAAAAGAGAAGAAAGAAAAGAUACGAGCAAAUAAAAAGGGGCAAGUGCCCGGAACCUCGAAAGAAAAAGAAAAAGUGAGACGAGAGGUAAAAAUGGACAAGUGUCCGACAGUAGAAUUAGGGGUACAAGAUACCCACCUGAGAGGAAAGAAAAAGAAAAAGAUAGAGCAUCUCAUUCUCCUCAUAAAGUUUCAAAAAGCAAGGAAGCUAUGUAUCCCCUCAAAAGAGCAAAAGUAGGAUUAGACUUUAACCAUUGUUAUCACCAUCAUCACCAUACACCAUUCAUUCGCCACACAUGCACAUCUUGAUUAAAUUUAUUGACUUGUUUCUUUGGAUCCAUGGUUUGACUAUGCAAUACAUGUCUUGUAAGUAUGUAUACUUUAUGUCCCACCUAUGUGCUCCAGAUAUUAAAGCCUUAUUAGAGUAGGGUGAGAGAGAAGACAAUGUCACUAUGCUUCAUACCACAAAUACUACAUACUUUUGAGAGAAGGCAUAUACCAUCACUGCCUUGGUAAGGAUCCAGAAAUAACACAAAAGAGAGAUAUGAGAGAAUCAUACAAGGAAUCUCUAAGUUUUAUUUGAAAAUCUGCAAAAACUACAGAGCUAUAGCUGAUCAAGAAUAAGAGACAUGGCACUUAACUAGACUGUUCUAUCUUUUAACUACUCAAGACAGAAGUAACAGUUACAAGUCCCAUGGUGAAAGGUAAAGUAAGUAAGUUUUAAGUCUUGAUAGUUUACUCUAACUCAGAGAUGAGACCUCAUUUAAAAGCAUGUGUACCGUCAAAUUUUAAAGAUAUUGCAACAACUUCUGAUCCAUUACUGAGUCUAACCUUGCUCAGGGACGAGCAAGAGGUAAGCUUGGGGGAGUUUGUUGACGGUCCUUAAGUAUCAAUUUUAAUUAUCAAAUAAACAAAGAAAAGGAUCCAAAUGAAAUCAACAUCUAGACUUAGGGUUUUAUCUGACAGAAUUCCACGAGUUUUGGUGUUUGUCUAUUUGUGCAAGGGGUUAUCAGGAAAUAAGGAAGAAAGGCCCACACGUCGGGAUUACAUAGAGAUAUUAACGUGCAGCGCAAUUAUCUUACAUCUAGAAGACUCCAGAAGCCAUAGGAAGGAAGCG
rnacentral:lncRNA from 1 species